UUGGUUCUGCAGCUCAUUUGAUGCCAUAGUUAUGGACUUCCCAGCGGCCGAGCACAACGACAAGUGCAGCUGCAACCCCUGCAGCUGUCCAGACUGUGGCUGCAACAAUUGAACACAUACAUCUGUUAUUUCAACUAGCACAGCUAUGUGAACGCCAGUAAUAAUGUAGCUGUGUUUGAAAAAAAAAAUAGUGUCUGUUUUAUGUUCAAAACCUCUGUUCUUAGCAAGAGGUAUGUUAUGAAUAAUGUUUAUUUCUGUUCUUCACCCACAGUCAUGUAAUGUUGGUCACUUCUGUGUCCAUGGAGUUAAUGGAUAAGUUAUACUAGUACACUCUCUUCCUCUCCAUCCAUUUUCAUUUUUGUUCCAUCUCAUUCUUUAUUCAAAUCGAAUUCAUGUUUAUAGAAUCAAUGAAACAAUCUAGAUGAGCUUCAGUACUUGGGAGAAACGUUACAGUAUAGAUAUUGUCUGUAUUUGAUAAUAAUAUCCAGACUCAAAAGGUCAGGUGGAAUGACAAAGGCUUAUAAAUUGAAAUAAUAAAAACUUUCAAAAUCUUGUGGAGAAUCAGUAGGCAGCCGAGGCACACUUACAAAAGCAUUGUCUUCAAGAUCUUAUUUGCUUUACAUCAGCUAUAAGCAGCCCACAACGACCAUCGUCCCAGCAGAAUAUAAUAUCAAAUUUCGGCAAAACAAAAACUUUAAACUAAACUCGAAUGUGGCAAACCGCUUAAACAUUUGUUCAACUCAACUCAAGAUUAUAAGGAAGGGGAAAAAAAGAGGAACACUUCAAAUUAAAAUGAGAUACUCCAAGUGAAGAAAUAAAUUGGUAUUAACAUGCUAACAACUUAGUAAGUUUCCAACGUAUAAAAUAAAAUGAAAAGAAGUACAAAAUUGAAACAUUCGUCAAACAUAACUCAAUUGAGUUGUUACUUAACCAAAUUCAAACAUAAUUCAUUAGAUGGAAGAAACUACAAAUUUAACAUAUGGAAGUUAAAAUUGUAAAUGAAACAACAACCAUUUUGAAUCCAGUUUGAAUGUAAUAAACAACCAUUGAUGUUCCAAUCAAUAACUUACUCUCGCCAUAUAAAAAAUAUCUAACAAUGCUACAGAAAAGAACAAAUCUAACUGAACAAUUGCUUCAAGAUUGUUCUGUUAUGCUGGUUCUAAUCAAUGCAGUCAAAUGCCAAUUCAUUUAUUUUCAAAACGCAAGCCUAGAAAGCAUAGUUAAUCACAGACCAUAGUAUCUUCUGUCACUUUUGUCUCUCUUUUCUUGGGUAGGAAUUAGGACACAGUAUCUUCUCAAACUUCUUCAUCAAUACAAGACCAAGGGACAAUAUUAGGGACACCACUGAGGUCUAAUGCAAGGAGACCCACUCUCUCUUGUUCUUUUCACAUUGGUGGUGCAUUGUCUCAGCAGGAUGCUCAUGAAGAGCAUCAACUCAAACAUGAUUGAAGGCUUAGGUAUUAAAAACUUGGGUCUUUCAAUUAAUUUCUGGAUGGCACAAUUCUGAUAUCUUCAUCAUACUAAAAGAAAAGCUUACAAGACUAUUUGAGAUCAUCCUAUCUAUUAGCAAAGUUUGUUCUCCGGCUAAACAUGAUUGAAGCCGGUUAAUUCUUUACCACUAGCUAAUCCAAAAGUUUUGUUGAGGAAGAGCUUUAUAUUUAAAAAUAGAAAAACUGAAAGCAAUAUUGAUAUUAUAUAUGCUAAUUUGUAUAAAAUAUAUUUUAUAACCAGCAUAGAGUUGAGGAGCUCCAACUUCAUGGACCUUAACUAAAUCAACCCUUGCUUUAGCUGAAGCUUUUUGGAAAGUCAUCCACAAUUCACAAAGCCCACAUAAUCUUCUUUUCUAGGUGGCGCUUAGCAAAAAUAAUUCACCAAUUCAAUGAAUAGAAACUCUAAGCGUAUUUUAUAGGGUGAUAUUUACGUGCAGACUGAAAUACAUUUAUCUUCGUACAUCCCCUUUGAUAAAGAUAUACACACAAAAAGAUAAUUAAAACUUGCAUCACUUUUAGAGUUAAUAAUAAAGUGUUGAUUGAUAUUUUAAAUAAUUACAAAUACAACCAAAUCUAUAAAAGCUCUAUUGUUGGACGAUAUAAUUUUAUCACAAACAGACUUCGAGAACUAGAUCUAGAUUUUGUUAUAACUUCAAAUUCUCAAGUUCUUUUGUAUUGCGUUAUCUGUUAAUAGUUUAAGCCUAAAUCCUAUAUUCGUAAUUUAUGAUUCAACACUUGAGCAAUCGCACAAAGAUAGAUGUAAUCCAACAUACAUUACAUAUAUUUAUCUAUCAUGUAUGGUCAUCAUGAUGAUUCAGAAUUGAAAAGCUCUAACAGUAGGCAUGUCCAUUUACAGCUUGCCCUUUUCAAUUGGACUAGGACCAACUUAUUGUGAUUAUCUAGCUACACCUUGUGUAGGAUAAAAUUCGAGUUUAAUCAAUUCAAAUGAUUGGUUUAAUAUUACUGAAGUCUACUACUACAAGGUCCGGUUCAAAACUUCAGAUCCAACAAUUCGAGAAUUGCAUAUUUAGAGCAUAUGACAUGAUAUGGAUGCAGAAUAAAGAAGAAAUAGUAAGAAAUUUUGAAUAAUAUGAGGAAACUAAUACAGUAAGUCAAUAACAAAGGCCCGAGCCUACAAAAAUACGAAGCCAAAUUGUACUUACUGCAUUGCAGCUUUGGCUAUACCUCCUUUCUCUCACUUUAUUUCUUAAUUUUCUUUGGUAUCUGUAUCUCUCAAAUAGCUAAAUUGUAAACUAGCAGAAAAUCAAAUCUUUCAUUUUAUUAGGUUAUCAAAUUCAGACGUUGAAUCCUUCCGCCCGAAGACACUUACGAUGAGCCUCGAUCCAUUUUCCACAUGCUUCUUCACCAUGCUCCACUAUGCACUCAUCUCUAAGCUUCUUAGUAUCGGGACAAGCACAACAUAUCUUCUUUUUUGGUUUUCCAUCUGGGGUAGACUUGAUCACUGUUGACGCUUGGUCAAGUUUCGAUUCCGGCAACGCUAUGGCUGAUGAAGAAUUUACAACAGGUAAACCACCCAUGCCACAAUUUCUCAAGGAAUGCAGUCUUAAGAAAAAGGGAAGGAAAUCCUGAAAACUGCAAGCAGAAAAAUAUGAUCAUGAAGAACAUCAAAUUAUAUCAUGGUAAAUCUUACUUAAUGGGCUACUGAAUCAUAAACUAGUGGGGGUGGUGCCUCUCUAUGUACAUAAACUAAUUGAAACCAGUUGAGAUAUGCUUAGAUUUACAAAUUUCAUAUUUUACUUGAACUUGAAGAGAGUCAUCAAAUAAGAAAACAGAAGACAAGGACCUUCAAUGAAACACAUCCAAAACACCCCAACUCAACUAUACCACAAAUAAAUCAUCUGAUCUUCCUAUUUGAUUUCUCAUCAAACAACCGAUAUACUGGAAAGAUAAAAUUCCAUAGAGCCAAAAGUAAGAACCUGAAAACAAAGUAACAAUCUUGUUUGCUAAAACGGAAAAUUUUUCUUACAGGCAAAAAUUCUGGCAGCGAAACGGAGAAAACCAGUAGGGUGAACAAGAAGCAGAGAAAAAUUGGAAGCUUACUUUUUGAACCUACAGGCAGACGAUUCCCUAGAAACCCAUAGUUGAAGAAAAAAGGAAGAAUAGAGCUUUAGACAGCGUCUAAUCAAAGCAAUUCAAAGAAAUUCUAUAUCUAUACUACGGAUAAAAUUAGCCAAAAGGGAGAAUCUUUAGGUUCCUUUAUGUGCAUAUUUGAGAAAUUUUGAAAUUUUUAAGGUCACUUUUGUCCGGUGAUUUAAAGUAUGUUUGAGGGUGAUUGUUGGAGUUAUGAUUUUAGGAAAAGAAAUUUAGAUACAAUUGAUUUUGUAACAUUGAUAUUUUUUAGCAAUUAAACUACGUUUGGUUCCACAUUUUUUUAAGUGAUUUUCAAACAUUUAGAAGUGAUUUCGAAUUGUAAUGUUUAAUUCCAAAAGUGAUUUUGAACUACUAACUUACUAAAUAGGAUAUUUUAUAUUUGAAAAUUUAUAUAACUAAAUAAAAAUAAUAAUAAAUAUGCAUGACAAAAAUAAAACAAAAUUCAAAACAUAUAUCACAUUCAAUCUAGAAAUGUUUGUAUAAUUGCAAAUACUUAAACUAGAUAUUAUCUUGAAACACAAAUCAUAUAACAAAGACAACAAAACAUAAGAAAUUGCAAUAAUUUCCCACUCCUCUUCCAUCUCCCUUCCAUGGCAAGAAGUUUCACUAUCUUUAACAAAACUUAAUGUUUCUGUCAUCACUUGCUUGAUAGCUAAUGAAAGAAAUGAUGCAAUGUGAAGUGUCAGAAGUGUCACAACAACAAUCUUCACCCGUUUGUCAUUAAAAAUGAUAUAUAUGAAUAAUAAAUAAAACUUUGACAGCAAACAACUUCAAGAGGACAAAUGAACAAACAGAAAAGAAAAAGCCAGAGCCAAAAAAAUAAUAAUAAAUAAACUCUAAAACACUCAAUUUAAAAAAUGACUUCAGAAGAGAGAAUUUAUGCUGAAGUUGUUGCAGGAAAGCAAACUCCGUAUCGUUUCAACAAUUUAUCAUUUUGCAAUUCAAUAUCAAAUUUUCAAAGUUCAAUAAAUGGAAACUACAUCAUAGUUCAAUUAGAGAACCAUCAAAAGCAAAUAAAACUACGAAUAAAGCUUAAGGGUGCUUCCAAAAUUUGAAGGCAUAAGCUUGCUAUUGCACAGGACUUGAUUCUAAGAACUCAAUUCUUCAAAACCGUUCACCAACAAAACACCAGACACAACUGAACUGGGUAGGAUGAUGUGGACGAAAAAUAUCAUGAGACGAAGUACUAAUACGUUAAUAACCCAUGUUAGAGAAUUGAUUAACCCAUAUGAUAGAUUUGCAAAAACAAUCCAAGGGUUUAGAGUCCCUUGCUUGAUAGCUAAUGAAAAAAUUUCAAAGAAUAAAAGACCACGUAGACUAACUUGAUUUUUCAAUCAGGAACACAAUCAUAAACAGAGCCCACGAAAAUUGGGGCAAUUUGACUGAUUACGAGAGAACCUAAUUGGAGUAGCUCCGACGAGUUUUAUCAAACAGUUUCACAGAAUCAUAAAUUCUCCAACAAUUUCAGCAUAAAUUCUCUCUUCCGAAGUCGUCAAAUUCACGAAGCAUUUUAUCAAACAAAUUCUAGGUAGCAAUCACAAAUGGGGUUCAGUAGUUAAAGCAUAUAAAAUCAGCAUAAACACAAUAAUCAAUCCCCCCUCUUAUAAACAUUACAACAAAUGAAAAUUGAGACACGCCCACAAAAGAAUCGGAACAGCAAGACACGACCCACGUUCCAAUUUGCCACAUAGCGUUGUUAUUAGGCUAUGAAAACAAAAUCAAACAACCACUCCAUUUUUUACUUUUUUUUUCAUUGAGAAAAUCCUAAUUAAUGCUUUUCAAGCGAGAAGAAAGACGGAGCUGGAGAUUGGGAUAAUACCAGAAACAAAGGGAGAUGAAAAUAAAUGCAAAAUCACUUGAACGGAGGCCGGGGCGGCACGAGCGGAAGAAAGACAGGAGCUGCCAGCUGAACGGGAGGCAGGGGCUUCGGCUUGUAGGAGAAGAAAAGAGCGUGGGGUAGGAGUACGGUAAGUUGACGAUUAUUACCAAAAAUUUUGGUUUGGAAAAAUGGACCAAUGUGAACCCAAAAAAUAAUAAAGAGUAAAUUUUCAUAAAUACACCCAAAAAAAAUAGAUGCAAACAGAGGAAUUAGAUUCAAAAUCUAAAAUGCUCUCAUACAUCAUAAAACAUUAUAAAUAAAUUAUGUUAUAUUUAUAAUUUUUUUUUAUAAUUAACCUAUAUUUACGUCGUGGGUAAUAAAAUCAAAAAAUUUAGAAGGUCGGUAAAUCUUUUUCAUAAAUUUUAUAUUUGUCUUUAAUAUUUUCAAAGAUUCGUCAUUUCUCUUUCUUCUUUCUCAAAUUCUCUCCACUUUCAGAUUUCUUCAAUUUCUCUUAAUUUUCUUUCUUUUAUUUUUGUUCAUCUUCUCUUUCUUUCCUACAACUUCACUUUCAGAAUAUUAAGAUUGUUUAAAUAUCAUUUUAAUACGAUCUAAAUUAUCUCUUAUCCAGUCAACAUAAUCUUUUAGAUUUAAAACAUUUUUUCCAUCAUUAAAAAGAACUAUACAAUCAUGUAUAAUUUCCUACACGAUCAUGUAUAAUUUCUUAUACAAUCGCAUAUCAGGAUCGUUUAGAAGAAGAAUCACACGAAACAUUUUUUUUUCAUUGUUAAAAAAACUACACAAUCGUGUACCAUUUCCUACACGAUCGCCUAUCACGAUCAUUUUAGAAGAAAAAUUGCACGUACGCAUGUGAUUGAUUAAUCAUGUAUCGACUAUAACAUUUUUUAUAUUUUUCAUCAUGAACGUGCGAACUUUUUCCAUUUUUGUAAAUUAUCAAAAUUUAAUAAAUUUGUCAGGUGUUACUCUUAAUCUUUUACAAAACCACAAAAUAGUUUUGAACGACCAUAUUUCAUUAAUUAGUUAAUUCAAGAUAUUUAAAUAAAAGAUCCUAAUAAUUAAAUGGUUUUAAAAAAUAAUUAAAGAAAAUUGUCUCUUUCUUUUGCUUUAUUUUACCCUCAUCCAUGUCACUUUUCCUUUUAGGUUUUUUUCUUUCUUUCUUUCUUUUCAAUGAAUUGAAUGAAAGCAUAAGAAGGAUCGAGGAGAAAUCGAAUCUAACCUUAAAAUUGAUAGGAUAAGCACGUUGUUAGUUGAUAUUUCUACUACAUGCAACAACUAUGUUAAUGCAUUUGAUUUACACAUUCAUCAAUGCAUCAACAAAAAAUUACAAAUAAGUCAAAAUUCAAAGCAUCAAAAAUAAAAAUAAAAUAGUUUUGUUAUGGCAUUUCUCCAUAAUUUUUUGUGUUUCAUAUCAUCCAACAAGUUCCAUGAUCGACCAAUUGUACUACAAUGUAAUCAAGCUCUUGGAGCCUCCCCUCUUGAAUAUAUUAAUUCAAACCUUAAAUCAUUCAACCAUUGCCUCCCUUCCCUCAAUCUCCCUACCACUGUUUAUAGCGAAAUACACAGUUACUAGCUCCUUAUGCCCUUACUAAUAUCCCCAAGUCCAAGAAAUCCUGCAUUACUCAACUUCUUCAGCACCUGCACUACUCUCCCAUGAAACCUCAAUUGAAGCCAUCAAGCUAUGACUCGAUCAAGAAUUAGGAACCCUUUUACAUUCACUUACAGAACUUCACGUCCCGGGCAUUUUUCAAGCAAUGAUUCCAUACAAGAAUUAGGAACUUCUUUACAUUCACUUACAAAACUUCAUACCCCGGGCAGUUUCAGAAUUUUCCAAACUUUGGUCGGCUUCCAAAUCCUGUUUACUCACAACAAAUAAAGAAUAUUGAUCGGUGACAUUGUGAGAUUGUGAGAAUUGAGAAAGAAUAUUGAUCAUUGUUGUAAUCGUAAUGUAGUACUAAACUUAUCUUCUUACAAUACAAAGGGAACCAAAUCUCGUCUUAUAAAAAGGAGAUAGCAAACACAAUAGAAGAAAAUUCAAUGAAUGAAUUAUGACUCCAGUCCUUGAUAAAGCAAUUGAGUCAAGUUGCACGUGGUAGAAAAGGCCACAAGGGAAAAUGUUCCUACUGUUUGAAUAAAUUGUGAGGCUCUUACAGAAAUACUAGCCCCAUCAUAAUACAAUAUGCCUCUUGUUUCCUUAUCUUCUCUAACCUGUUAUGAACAUGGCCAAUGCCCCCCCCCCCCCCCCCCCCCCCCCCCCUCCAAAUCAAAUCAAAUAUUUUGAUUUGUAGCCUUACUUAUGAGUGAAUCAAGCCUUGGGUCAAUCUUUCCAUUGUAUUGCCUUUCAUUGGCAUUGAUUCGAUUGAGUCUUCCAGUCAUCAAGAAGGUUCUUCAUGGACUCUUCAAACUUCUUAGCUUGAGAUCCAGGCUUCAAGAUAUUGACAUCACUCCAUUGUGAGCAGGGAUCCAUCCACCAACUCUUCCGACCCGUGCACCAUGCUCCAGGAAGAAGUCGGUUACGACCUCGCUUCAAGAGUUCUUGAUCGACCAUGUCCAGCACAGAGUCAUCUUUAUGAAAUUCUCGAGCAAAUGCAGCUCCGCUUUCAGCCAUGACAUUGAAGUUUGAUACAUUGAGGAAAACCGGUUCCAUCUUUGGAGGAUCAUCCCAGAUCAUAAAUCUUAGAUCACUAUUAACAGUUUUGUUCUUGAACUCAUUUGAAUUGCAAAUGACAGAGUGAAAGUAUCCUUCUUCUGAUAAUACGAUGUUGUUAAAAUACAUAAGAAGCACCCGAGGAAGGUUAUCCCACCCAAGAACACAGAAUUCAAGAAAUGAUCGACUAAGGACAAACCAAGGGGAACCUGCAAAUGAUAAGGUCUUAGAUACAGUAUUCUUUAGUGAGCAGUAGAUUAAGAAGAAAACCAUAGAUAGUUAUCUAAAUUUAAAGAAUACACUAGGGACGAAACAUAAAAAGAAAAAUCAACUUAACCCGUGAAAAUUUUGAACGCAUCAGGUGUUGGCCGCUUCUCAGUAGCAUGAAAUAUUUGAGUUCUCCUUGCCAAAUACAACCCUGGAUCAACUACAAUUGGAUGAACCCUCUGACCUCUGGCAUUACCAAACACUGAUAUUAUUAUAGUUCAAUUCAAGCAAGAACAGUAUAUAAUGCUAAUGCAGAUUGGUUUUUCUUACUCUUUCCACCCAAGGUCGCUCGUGUGAUCUAUGAAAUUGAGAUCCCUACUAACAGAUGAGAAGACAUGUGAUAGAUCUGAAAGCACAUAUAAGAAAACGUUACUGUGCAAGGAAAAGGAAAGCUAUCCAUGGAAAUCAGCAAGUCGAAUAACUUUGAAGACUUCCCAGCCUAAAAGAUUUGCAUGAUUAAUAAGGCCUUUUUCAAGGUUUUUAAGGUGGCAAAUGCACUGAUGCACAAGAUGAAAGAGAAAACAAAUGGCUUGAAAGAGAUAAGAUACACAACAAAUAUCCUACAACUAGUUUUUUGAACUAACGAGUCCCAUAUAUAAGUAAUUCUUAUAAAAGUUUAAAAGAAAUCACCCACUUCAAUACAAGUCUUCUCCAAAUUUAUCAAUCACAGUGAAUAAUUAUAUAAACAAUAUCAUUGACGUUUCCUUGAAAGUGUUUUCCUCAUCUUUUCAGGUAACAUUUGAGCUUUUAGACUAGCAUACAUGUAACUCUACUGAUCUUAGGGACAGUCCCUAACCCUACAAUGUUUGAUUCAUAGAAUAUUUCAUAUACUAUUUGUAGAUGAACAACGUUGGUUUUAAUAUAUGACCUAAAUGUCACAAUGCAUCAUUACACCAUUAUUCAUCUUGGAGGUUCAAAUAGUGAAUAUCAUCAAUAUUAGCAAACAUUUCUAUGUAAUACUCAUACAAGUCAGUGAAAGUCUCUUAUGAUCCAAUGCAUUAACCUGUCCAUUCUUUGCCCCUACCCUAUUAUGGCCUCUGUAACAGUCCCACCUUUAAAGGGAAAGAGGUAAAAAUGUUCCCCAAAAGAACAACUCAAUAAAAUUGAAACUUCAAACUUGGCCAGAAAUAUUUGCUUCCUCAAAGAAAAAAUUACUAGUGAUUCUAGUCUAAGAGAAACCCUUUAUGAGACGAGAUCAAGAUAAAAUUACAAGCAGAACGGAUAUGACAUCCAAACUUGAUUAGGUAUCUAUGGAAAAAGAAAAAAAAAAGUGAACUGAAUGUUCUAGGCCUCUGGCCUCCUAUGUAGUUAAGCCCAAUACAAAGCAAUGAAGUGAAGAAGUUACUAUGACAGUGGUUCAAAUUAAGUACCCGAAAGUGCAAUCCAGUUUCUGCAUAUCACUGUAAAACCCCAAGGGCUCAAAAGGACGGUAAGAAAAAACAUCAACCUAAAAUAAUCCAUCAGUUUCCUCAUAUACAUACAUGGCGAAAGUGCUUAUAAUCUCUAACAGAGUAAUUCUAGAGGAUUAACUAUCAUAUGAAGACUUCACAGAGCAAUUGACUCAAUGAAUAGGUGUUUUCAAGGAUAAGCAUUGAAUAUCUCCCUCUGCUUGACCCAACUAAUUCAACCUUCAUUAUUUGAUCAAUUAAAAAGAGUUGGCUUCCUAUCACAAGAAACAUACAAAUACUUUUUCUUGAAUAAGAAGCCCCAAAAACAUAAAAUACAAUCCUGCAAUCUUUUAAUCAGUUAAAAAGAUCCUAAAAUUGGCUAAGCCUAUAAAAAUCCUUCAACUAGCUGUUCAACUAAGUUAACUAUAAGGCCCAAAACAAUCAUCAUAAUAUAACUAAUAAAUCGGAAAAAUCAAACAAUCAAAUAAUCAAACAAACAAACGAAACAUUAACAGCAAUCCACAAAUUUGAUAAAAAGAAAAAGGAUGUCAAGAACUAUUUUAAUGUCCCAAUUGGCGUAUGACAAUGAACACGACAAGAAACAAUUACCGAAUUGGCAUUACCAUCCUGACUGAUCAGCGGGUAAUCCCUGGCACUCAAAGUGAUAAACCAGUCCCAACCACUCUCAAGUUUCAGAAGAAUCGAAGCAGCAUGAAGAAUCGUGGCAAUGUUAGAUGACCCCAUAUAGCUGAUUCGAUUGGGCUUUCCAACAACGUCAACGUUUUCAAAGGCACGAAUAGCUGGCACCGACUUCACCGCUACGGCUAGCUGCAGCCGCUCCUCGUUGGAAGCAUCUGCCGCAAGAUGCAGAAGGUACCGGUUUCUGGGGUGGUAGACAGCAAGCAACAGCCUGAAGAGUCGGUCCUUGUCACCGCGGCCACCGGAAAUGUAAUAGGCAAAAGCAGGAGGAUAUGGAGCUCCAUGGUGAACUAUUGAGGGAAUGGAUCGCGGAGAACUGAAGGCAGAAAUGGAAGAGAACAAGAGAAGGAGAAGAGAAAGGAAAACGGCAGAGAAGAGGGUGAAGAGCCAUUUUUUCUCAGCUCCCAUGACGAAGAUCGUGGUCCUGGUUUUAGUUUUUUCACUUUAUGGUGAUGGGAAUUACAGCACUCUGAUGAUGAUGACGACGAUUCAACUGGGUGGGGCAUAUGGGUAAACGUCAAUUCGAGAAAAGAGGCGAGUUUGAGAGUGAAUUUAGAUUUUCAGAAUCUUCUAGGGAAAUGGGUUGUUGGUUUGGUAGAUCUUCGAUUCUUUGGCGAUUCCAGUUCAGAGAGAAGCAUCCUUCGAAGAUCUGGGAUUCAAAACACACAGUAAAAAGAUCGAAAAAUGUGAAAUAUAAAAAGAUUGCGACCAAUACAAAAUAAAAGUGACUCGAUAACUAAUUAAUUUCUACACGCAAUUAACAGUAACCCAGUCAUCCACACACCAAAAAUAAAGCCAAGCACAUGCAGAAAGAAACUAAACAAGACAUAAUAAUAGUCACGAAUAACAGCAUAACAAGCAUGGAUCAUUAGAUUGCAAUACGAUCACAAAGGUCGUCAUGCUCUGCAGAAAAGGUCACAUGAAUAACUGCAUAACAAGUAUGAAGUAAACCAAUCGUAAUUGAAAACCUACCUUGUUGAAACGAAAUGAAGAGUCCCGUGGAAAUUUCGGAAGUUGCAAUCGUCCUCCUUGCAGUCAAAAUCAUAAGAAACCGGUACUUCGGGUCAGAAGUAGCAAUCAGGGUAUAGAUCGGCUCAAAUCGCAUCAGUUGAAGUCGAAGUGGUGGGUCGUCGAUUCUCUCUACGAUAAACAAAGAAAACGUGGCUUCACCUGGAUUUUCUCUCCGAUCGCUUAUCGAGACUAGUAAUUUGUCUCCGAUUGUUGCAGUCGAAAUCGUUUUUUCUCCGAUCGAGGGUUCGGCUGGAUUUUCGUCGUCGUUCAUCUCCAUGGGCUUCUACCGUGGGCCAAUUCAGUGACGUAACGGGCUGGGUCGGGUCGGUUUUGAAAACCGUCCAGACCCAAGAUCGAUUAUGUACGAGUCUACCACGGAUGCCGACCCAACCUGAGUCAAAUUUGACUUGGGUCGGGUCUUUUUUUAAAAAAAUAUUAUUAUUAUUUUUAGAGUACGGAGUGGAGUGAGCUAAUUUUAGUUGAAAAUUAAGAUUUGGAUUUCAAACAAAGGAAAUUGGUAUAGAUAGCAAAUUGAAUGACUUUAAAAAAUAUCGAAAAACUAAGAAUAGUAAGAAUUAUAGCAAAGUGUUUACACUACGAUUUCAUAAUACUAAUGGACCGUGAGAGAAUUGCAACUAUUUUACUUAAUCUUUUUUCUAUCAUUUUAAAAAUUAAGAUUUAGUUAGUAACAUAUAUCUUUUAUAUAUUUAUAUAAAAUAUGAUAUAUAUGUUAGGGAUAUUUUUUAAAAUAGUAAAGUAAAUUAAAAUAUUUACAAAUUAUAGCAAAAAUUUUAUGCUAUCAAUUAUAGAAAUUGAUAACGUUCUAUCAUUGUGUAUCAAUGAAUGCUGCUAUAGAAGGAUAUCCGUGUUUAUCAAAGUUUGUUAUUGAUAGAAUUUUAAAAUUUUGCUACAAGGUGACAAUUUCCUUUUAUUUAAAUUUGUUUGCACAAAUUUGUUAUCAACUAUCAAUUUUUUUAAAGAUCCUAUGUUUAACUCUUAUGGAUAUGCAAAUUUGUGAUAUCUCCGUUUACUAAUUUCAAUAAAAAUUUAAUUCUCCACAUGUAUCUAUUUAGAAAAUUUAAAAAAAAAAAUCACACCAUUUAUUUUAAAGAAAAACUACGAGAUUUAUCAUCGCAAGACAUGUUGUUUUCAUUUUCUUGAAAAAGGUAAGAAGAAAUUUAUGGAGACCAAAAAGAGUUGGGAUGAAAAGAGGAGGUUAUCUUUCAAUAGUGAGACAAGAAAUGUACCAUGGUAGCAAGAAUUAAUUGGUUGAGACUUUUUGUUAUAGUAGAGUUUUUGGGUUCACUAAUUUAUUAGCAUCUAAUGUAUCUUCACCGUACACCAAAUAUCACCAAGAGCUAAGCAAUUCAGUAAAGACAUCCAAGACGUUGAAAAUUUAUCAUGAUUGGUUUUGUUAAGACUAUCUUAGUUUGAAAACAAAUAAACCAAAAGCUACAAAUAGGAUUAUGCUCAAAUAUUUUGGGUGUGUACUUUGAGGUGGAGAUUUAGGGGAUUAGGAAAAGGGCUUUGGCCUGAAAUUUUUCUACUUUAUCUUCUCAGAACCUACAAACUUUUCUAUUUCAUCUUAUUAUAAUACUUUGAUAGGGAGGGGGCUUCGAGUUGUAACUUAGAGAAAAAAUAAAAAUCUGAAGAAAAAAAAACUACACAAGUAGGACUUAAUCUUUGUUUGGAUGAGGGUUGACAAACAUAGUUACCACAAACAUAGUUACCACAAACGUAGUAUUAAAUGGUUUUGUUUAUACAUAUUAUAUAAAGACAAUAAAGUUGAGGGGGGCUCGAGCCCCCCGGGCUUAUACUAAAUCCAUCGAUGAUCAUAACACUAGGAUUAUUAUAAUCCUUUUCUCCUAUAACUCUUUUCCUCCCCCAAACGCACCCUAAGAGUGAUUUUUUAAGCCAAUGUAGAGUCAUUCCAAACACAAAGGGAUUAUGAAACAAGUCAUUUUCCCAUUACUAUGAACUAACAAGUGUAUUUGGGAAGGAUAGAGCACCAAAAAAUUCAUAUGAGCCUUUAGUUGUGAUGGUGCCAACUUUUUUUCCUAGAAAUAAAGGAUGAGGUUCGACUAGGAUUACAAAAAUACCCCAACCUAAAUGAUGAACAAACCUCAUUACUUGAGGAUCCAAUGAAAAAUGAUUGGGUACACAUGUCCAUGGUGAGCAUCAGUGUAUUAGAUAUGUCUAUAGGUAGAGCAAGUGAGCAACGAAAUCAUCUAAAGGUAGUAAGAGGAAAUUACUAACAUUCCGAAAUGCAAUGAUUAACAUCGUGCAAUCAUUUGCAUUCAGCACACAUGGACAGACUUGUUGCAUGACAAACAUAGAAGUAUGAGUUGCUAGAAUUUUGACGUCAAAAGGAGGUAGUUGAUGUCAUAUUUCAUAUUGAAUGGAUGUUUGAGGAUGAUAAAUGUGAAGUAAUUGGUUUGAUUGGCUUGAACAUACGAAAGACAAACUUUUUCCUUGUUGUACUAGAAGAGAAUCGAAAACGAUACUGCAAUUUGCAUCUUGCUUGUUCAUUAUCAUGAACUCAUUCUAAUUAAGCUUUAAUAAUGUGACUAGAAUUGACAAUUAGGCUAGGAUCAUGCAAUAAAAGGUCCAUACUCCUAUCUAAGUAUUGCUAGUGAUAAGAAUUCAUCGUUUUGAGUACAUGAGUUUCAUAUUAAGUCCGGCGGCAAGAAUGUAUUGCUACAUUCUUUUCGCCAUCUAUUUAGUUAAAUCCUGAUCAUCAUGUUUCAAGUGACAAUAGUCAAUACUUUAUCAUUUCUCUCGAAUAGGAUAAGAUAUUGAUUGCUACAUUAACAUGACAAAUAAUGUCGACAUCUAGAUUCUCUAACAUUAACUACUCCUUACAUCAUUUACCCCUACUUAAACUUAAAUAAUUAUGAAAGACAAAGAAAUGCGAGAAUGAAAGUAGAAAUAAAUUGCAUUCAAACUUCUCUAGGCUUCUCGGCCAUAGAGUUCAAAUUACAAAAAAUUACAAAUGAAAUUACAAAAAUGUGUGUCAAGCCACUAAACAUGAUUUCUCAGACUCGUUGGCUCUGCUUUUUACCUAUACAUUGAGGGGAAGCGAAAUGGAGGAUCUUUCAUCUAUGUUCUAAGCUCUCACCUAAAACAGAGAAAGAAAAAAUGGAAGUUGGAAGUGAACUUGCUCUUCCGUAGAUUUUGCACAUUGUUCUUGAUGUUGCACUCUAUUUCUAGGUGAUGAUUGACAUGACAUAUCAUAGUCUGGGUUCCAUUAAUUCUUUGAAAAAGCUACUUUGCGCUAUAGAUGUCACAUUCAUCAUUGUCUAACAUUAGCACCAACUAUUUUGUCUUUUUAGUGAUGUAGAACGCCUAGCUUCCUUCUUUCAAUCGUUUUGUUGGUCGUCUUGUAUGCUUCUUCGUCUGAUGUUUGUCACUUGGCUACUCCUCUCUUUUUCAUCUUAUAAUAUUCUAUGUAUGCACAUGAAAAAUGCGAUAAACAAACAAAAGCUCUUUUAUAACUUGUAAUGUGUAACUAAGUUAUUUGAUCUAUUUAACUACUUGUUUUCUUCAUUUUUCAUUAUUCUACCUAAAAAGCUAUAAUUAAAAUUAUAUAUAUAAAAAUUCGACGUAAAUGAGGGUAAAAAGUGAUAGUUAGAUAGAAGGAAAAAUGAAAAUUUUAUUGCAACAUGACAUGUAUUUUUCGGUGAUAAACGUAUAACUGUUUUGCAAUUAUAUUGAAUGCUCAGAUCAUGAGUGUUCAAAAAAUGGAUGAAAAAAUUUGUGUUCUCUACGUGAAUAAUUAAGUUGAAAAGAAUUUUUUAUGUUUUAUAAAUUUAAACAAAUAAGAGGGUUUCUCUUUCUUUGUUUUUUUUUUCAUAAAAAAGUAGAGAAAUAGACGUUCGGGUUAAAGCCAAAAGAAUUUGUUUUUUGAUUUUUAGACACAACUCAAUUCAACAUCCCAAGUUCUAUAGAUAAUUUAACUUUCCAUACAAUAAUUAACGCAACGCUAUUGAUUUAUUGUGUGUCAAACGUUCCUUAAAUUUCAAAUCUAUUCUUAAUUUUCCUUAAUUCUUUAUGAUAUUUCUAUGAAUUUUGCAAGAACAAUAAGAAGGCUUUUUGGUGUGUAGUGUGCGUUAUUAUAGUCUAUGUUUAUGAUGCAAAAUAUUAUAAUUUGUAUUUGAACGGUAGAGUAUAGUUUAUAUACAUAAAUGAAUUCCUUUCCACCUGAAGAUCUUCCUUUCCACCUGAAGACACUUAACCUGAUUGAUUUAAGAUGUCUCGUGUUCUUUAAACUCUGAUCUUUGCAGUCAAUGGUGUUUUGGUUUAUUACAACGAAAACUUCUCCGUAAUUGUUCCAAAGUGUUGUAGAUAUUUUGGUCAAAACAUCUCAUUGUUGGACUUUUGAUCAGAGUCCACCAAAUGGACUUAGGCAUUCACCAACUCAAAGUCCUCACAUUUUGUCCAUUUGUGUUUCCAUCUUUUUCCAUUCACCUGUCAUUCUCAUACAUGCAUGUAUACAUGGUGAACACAUUAUGCAAAAUUAAAUAGCUUCGUCUCAUAUUAUUAAAAAAAAUGUAAAAACCUAAAUAUGAAGUUAAUUAGUUGAAUCAAACAUGUUCAUUACAAAAAAUGAAGUAUAAAUAUUUGAUAAACGUCUACUAUGUUUGUUAGAUGUAAAGCUAGAGGUCCUUUUAGUAUCCUUGCAAAAACUAAAAAAGAAAGCUAACUUAGAUCAAAUCUAGAAUCUCUGAUGGUUAUUCUUAGAUCCUAAGGCAACUCCCUCCGGGGUCAGCUUGAUCAAGACUAAGUGAAUGAAUUGUUUUUUAACAUAAAAUAUAAAACAAAAUUUGAAAAGAUAACACCAAAAGGGUUGAAUAAGCACAAACAUUUUAGUAUUGCUAUUCUCCCUUUUCAAGAGUAUUACAAAACCAUUUUAUAGGCUAAAUGGUCAUGCGUGGGGUGAAAGCCAAAAGUCACCCAAACACUUAAAUGUCAAUUGAAGAAAAUACAUGUAUGGGGUGGAAGCUUAAGUGUCAUCCAAAUACACUUAAAUGACAUUCGAAGAAAAUAAAGACAUAGGAACUUAAAACAAGAUUGCAUACUAAAUUAUAGAUCAAACUGAAAAACUAAAAAUGUAGAAUGUCUUCAAAACGCCUCAAAUAACUCCUUUAGAAGGCUGCAAAAUUGAUGUGUCCAUUUGACAUGGUUUGACAUCAUAUUUUCCCAUGUAGUGCACAACAAACAGCAACUUCUUCACAAAAUCUGCACAUUUUUUUGUCCUACAUGCCAUCUUUAAUUCAUUCUUAUCUCAACUCAUUGAACUAACAUUAUAUAUAAUUUGACUCAUUUUCAUCUUGAUAUUUUUUAUAGCUACCAUUGAUGAUAUUCUUCUAUUGCCAUCACUAAUAAUAUCUAUGAUGAUAGCAAUAGAAGGAUAUUACUGAUAGCAUUUAUAAGUAAUAUCUUUAAUAUGAUACUAUAUAUCAAUGAUAUCAAGGUAAGGUUACUAUAAAGUGAUAUUAUGGUUGCUUGUUCGUAAGAUAAAUUGAUAAAUAAAAGAGAUUAGAUUAGCAUCUUAUCGGUAAUAGCUUUGAAUCACUAAUAACAUAAUAUUCAUAUGAUAGCUUCUAUCGCUAAUAAUAUAAAUGAAAUUGAUGUAGUUGCAAUAUUUGUUGAAAUAAAUUAUUAAUUUUUAGGUUAUGUUAUCAAUAUUUAUAUGAAAUACAUAUUGAGGCAUUAGGCAUAUAUCAACAAGGAGGCUGAAAGGCAAAAUUGUUAGCUUGUGGUAUAGAUAAUAUUUAUUUUCUUCGAAAUUUCCAUUGAAAUUAGCGGAAGGGCCCUCCAUCCUAGAAGUGAGCCUACAGGUAGAGAACUCCUAUGGACUUCAUGGGCCGAGGGGAUUUGUUCAAUGAGGUUUGGCCCAGUCCAAUGAUGAGGCUGACUUUACAGUUUCCUGUUUCCACUGUACUUCACCACCUCUCUAUUCCUUCAUCCACAUUUGAGCUUUUUGCUCUCAUUUUUCUCUCUACCUCUCUCUCUCCCCCGCGUACAGGAGAGAGCAAAAUCAAUCAUCCAUGGCGAAGCUCACCUCUCUCCUCAUCUUCUUCUCUCUUCUCUCUCUCCUCUUGCUCUCUCUUUCACCCUCUUAUGUUCUUGCUGACUCCCACUUUGAAGGAUUCGAACCAGAACUCGACGACCUCGAAGAUGACGAUCUUUCACUUCCCCUCACCGAUCUCCCCCUCCGUCCUCCUCCUCUUACCCAGUCCGAGCCAGAACUCACCGGAAUUUCUUCUCUGGAUCAAGAUUCUGAUAAACCGGAUCCAGUGGGCGAGCCGUCGGAUCCUCAAUCUCCACCCUCUGUCUCCGAUUAUACGAAGCCGUCUCCAACUAGCUUCAAUUACUGGGAUGAGGACGAAUUUGAAGGUUUGCCGAUUGAGCAACCACAAGAACCGGUACAACAGAGCUCCAAAUCUACGGAGGAUUCAGCCUCCACCAAUCCGAACUCUGAUUCAAAACCUACCUCUCCGAUUCCCAAACCUACGAAUGCUCCGAAGUCGUAUACUGUUGAAAUUAUCUGUGGAUCUUUCUUGGUGAUUUUUGUGAUAAACUAUUUUACCGGAAAGCGCGAGAACGAGAACAUUGCUCUAUCUUGGGCUGCGAAAUUCGGGACCAAGGACUCCAUUUUUGAGAAGAACUUUAGUCUGCUGGGCGUGGGGGAAGGCGAAGACUCGCCUUUGCUGUUGAAAGAGGGACAGAAUGUCUUCAAAUUCUAUGCUAGUGGGCGAAGGUAUUGCCAGGGGCUUUUGGCGACAAUGGAGUUGAAGAGCCGACAUGAUUUGAUCUCGAGGUUGUAUAAUAUGGUGGUGCCAUGUAAGGAUGAAAUUAGCUUCGAAGUCUAUAUGAAUGAUGAUGCGAUGGAUCAUAUUAUCUUUGCCGUGGCGAAGAAGAAAGCUGCCAAAGGAAUGCAAAAGGAUUUGAGAGAUUUGCAAAGAUUUGCCGGGAUUUUGGCGCCUCCCAGAUGGGUUCCUGAAGAGUUGAGCGUAAUUUCUGAAUCGAAGGAAGUCGCUGCAGAUUUGAUCACAGAGGCCGUUCUUGACCAGGUUGGUAGAUUUUCGUUUCACUGUUUCAGAUAACUUCCUUUAUCUUAUUUCGUUUCGCUGUUUCAAAAACGUUUUGUUGAAUGGGUGUUUGCAAAAUCUUCUGAUGUCUGAUUUUUCAGUUAAAAAGGUUCAGAUAUGUUGUUUAUUUUCAUGAUAUUUAUUUAUUUUAUUUUAUUUUUUGCUAAUCGUUUAAACUUUAUAUUAUCUGGUGAUCUCGCGUUUAAAAUGUAAUCUUUCUGUUUACUUUUCAUAUAUGUUAGUUUUUGUAAGGAUCAAUUUAUAUUUACUUAUCUAAAAAAUUGUGAAAUUACUUAUGGUAUUAUACAACUGCAUGUUUGAUUAUUCACUCUGCAUAGUUGGGUUUGGACUGGGGCAUAUUUUCUUUUAAAUUAUAUUUCUUUGUGCAUUUGGAUUUUUUUUUUGGAGGUUUGCUUUCAUAACCCUUUCUGUAGCUUUGGAAGUUGAAACCAAUCACACUUUUCAAACAAGUUUUUAUAGUGCUUUCAAUCUAGUUGGUGCGUUCUUUGUAGGAAUUCUUAUGCUUAUGAAGAUUAGAACCAUCUGUUUUGGCAAUGCCUUUUCUCGACCUUGGUUGGGCAUCCUUUCAGUCAGUUUGGCCCUGAGUCAAGAGAUUGAGAAUGCCUUAGCUUAGGGGGUCCCUUUUUUUCUUAUUGGCUGAAAUUGGCGCUGAUUAUCUCUCAAUGAAACGUGUUUAUUCAUAAACAACCACAGCUAAAAGGACUUUGUUUGAGGUAUAGUGGACUUAGGGUUUUGAAGAAGUUUUGGCUCAAAUCAGACAUGAAAUUGCUACACAAGUUUCAUUUAGUUGUAGAUGGCUUUGUUAUUUUUUAGUGGUGAGGAUUGUUGCAGCUUUUAUUUCCCUAGGGUGUCUUGGAAACGUUUAUUUACUAAAGUACUGUGUACCAAGGAUUAUUUACUCUUGGAUCCGGACUCGUAUUUGCUUGGUUAGGUACUCAAUCCUAAUCAAUGUUUGGCUGAGAGUUAGGAUCCAUGCUAUGAGUGAUCUUAAAUGGGGGAACCUCUGCGGACGAUCCUUUUCUUGUUGGUGGUGGUUGUCCUAGGCAGUGUUUUUAAAUGCCCAUGGCGCACUAAGUCACAAUGAUGGCCGCCCUCUGGAACCUAAGCGCAAGUCACACAAAAAGGUGUGGGCUUUUUUUGUGAGGCACGUUACAUAUGAAAAUAUUACAUGAAAAAGAAAGGAUAUUUGAAGUGGAAUUAUGAAGAAAAAAGACCCCAAACACAAGAAUUUUUGCAUUUAGGCUUAGUAAACCUGAUUGCUUUAGUUAAUAAUGAAGGAAAACCCUUAAUUAUUACUAUUUUUUAAAAGUAAUGAUAAAGCCCCAAGGCCCAAGGCCCAAGGCUUUAAGCCUUGGGCGCUUCACAAAAGCCUAGGUUUGGCCCGAGAAGGCUUUUUAAAACACUGGUCCUAAGUAGGAUCAUUUUGAAAGGAGUGGCAUCUAAAGCUUUUAAAGGUUUUGAGAUUGGCACUGACAAUCUGACCCUCUAUCAUCUUGCGUUUGUUGGUGAUAUCAUUUUCUUUUGCUUCGAAAAUGAGGAGUCAUUUGAUAAUUUAGAGAAUUACUUGGUAUUUAUUGAAAUGAGUUCGAAUGUCAACUUCUAGGUUUAAAUUGUGGUCUUGAUAAGAUUCAUAGGUAGGCUGCUUUGGUAGGAUGUGAAGCUAGUUUGUUCCUUCAUAUCUUGGCCUCCCUCUUAGGCAUAAUCUGACUAAUGUUUUUUGGGAACCCAUGUUGUGGAUAAGAUUCAAAGAAGGAUGGCAACUUGGAAACAGAGCUUUUUCUCGACAGGGGGUCAUCUAACUCUCAUCCCGUCGAUUUUGAGUGGGAUUCCUUUCUACUUUCUUUCCCUCUUUUAAAUUUCAGUGUUCGUAAGUAAUGCCUGGAAGAAAUUGAUGAGGCUGGAUAGGCAGAGUGUUUGAAACUCAUGGAUUUUGGAGGAAUUACAGGAAAGCUGAGAGCAUGUAAGCAGACCCUUCUAGCUAAAUAACUGGCAGUUUUAACAAACUUGAUGCUCUUUAACGUGAAGUUAUUGCAAGUAAAUUUAGUCUGUUCCAUGAACUCUAAAUGGGGUUAGUGUUCUAGGUCUCCUUGGGGUCAUUUCAUUCCUUGCUGAAUUGGGGAGGGGAGAGAGAUGUUUUUAGGAAAGAUUAGUGAUUCGGUUACGACCCUUUUGCUUUGUUUUUCCUCAUAUUGGUCUUUUUUAAAGAAUGUAUCUUAGGCCAACAUUAUAGCUCAACCAUCCACCACUUUGGGGUUCUGUCAUUUCCUAUCUGAUAGGGAAAUAAGGGAUCCCCUUUCAUUCUUAGGAAGUUUCUGUGCUUUGUUGGGAGAAGGGUCAUUUGCUUUUGGAGCCCUAGUCUUUCAAAGAGCUGUUUCUGUCAUUCAUUUUUCCUUUUGUCUGGUUAACCCUUCUCCUUUGAGAGAUUUAGCUUUUUCCUUGAUAUGGAAAAUAAAAAUUCUCGAUAUGGUGAAGUUUUUGUUUGGUAGGUUCUUCACGUGGGGGUGAACAUCUUAGAUGGGGUGGUUAGCAAGAUGCCUAAUUUGAUUUGGGCAUGGUGUUAUAUUCUUUGUAGAAGGGUAACAAAGAACCUUGACCAUAUCCUUUGAAGUUGUGUCUUUGUCUAUGUGGUAUAAACUUCUUUAACGAGCUUGGUGAGUUGGCUAGACAUCUUGAUUGCAUACAGAUGAUCGAGGAAUUUCUUCUCCACCUUCCUUUAGUGAGAAAGGAAAGUUUUUUUUAAAAAAUUAAAAUUUUUAUGAUAUCAAACAACUUUCAUUGAGAAAGAAUGAAAGAAUACAAAAGGCAUACAAAAAAAUCUAGCUCGCCAAAACACCCUGACUGAUAAAAGGGGGGACCAACAAAGUAAAAUGUUACCGUUGGAGUAAUUACAAAAAUGCUUCGAAAUUGAAGCCUAAAGGUAAACAUGAAAUCUAGCCAAGACCAAAUCUCACUAUACUCCCUCUCUCUACCCCGAAAGAUCCAAUCAUUCUCUCCCCAAAUGUCCCAAAUAAUGGCACACACCCCGACCAUCCAUAAAAGUCCCCUUUGUCUGUGAAAGGUUGAUGGAGGAGGGACUUCCCGAUUGUCGCUCUGACACUCCGAGAGCCAGAAAAACUAACACCGAACUCUUGAAGGAAAGAACUCCACACUACUGCCCGCAUGUAAUGGCAUUCCCAAAACAAAUGAUCAAGUCUUCCUUUGCCUUCCGACAAAGCAUGCAACAAAAUGGCCCGACAAGCAAAGUCCUCCUCCUAACAAACCUAUCAACAGUGUUAACCCGACCAAGCAAGACUUGCCAAAUAAAGAACCUAACUUUCAUAGGAACCUUAGUCUUCCAGAUCACGUAAAAAACCGACUCCAUAGGGGGAGAGGGAUCUAACAAUAGACUAAACAAGGAUUUACACAUGUAACACCUACUAGGAUUAGGAUCCCAAAUACAAACAUCCCUUCUCCCAUCUUAAAGUUACACCCCUCAAACAAAUAAAGGAGAGAGGCCUCCUUUGUCGAUUCCCUAUUGGUCAAAUUAAGAUAGAAUACGAAGGAAAAAGACACAUGGGUUUCUCCAAACUAACCAGACAAUCUGAGACCAUACAAUUUCUGAAUGAGGAUAAAUGAUAAAGAUGCGGAAAUAAAGAGCAAAGUGUAUUCUCCCCUACCCACUGAUCCUCCCAAAAAUACGUGUCCUUAUCAUCCCCCACAAAGCAACGAGUAAACUGAGAGAAAGUAGAAAGCUCGAAGAAAAUAUCCGUUCAAGGAUUUUGGUGUGCCUUUAACGAGAAAGUAGAAAGCUUGAAGAAAAUAUCCGUUCAAGGACAGUAGUUCAACGAGUAAAUUGCGAGAAAGGAAAGUUUUUGGGACAAGUAGGGGUGUGCUAUUUUAUGGGGAUUUGGAGCGAGAGGAACAAUAGAAUCCUUUGAGGGAAUGAUUCUUUUUUAUGUUUUGUCCUUUGAUAGAUUUCAUGUUACUCUGUGGGCUUCGUGUACAAAGCUUCUCUAUAAUUGUGAGCCUUGAGCGCUUUUUUUUCCUUCUAGUCUUUACUUUUUGCCAUGCAACUUGCUGUCUGCAUUUCCCUAUUGAACGCCUACCUGCUCAGUUAACAUGUUACAGUCAGAACUUUUAUUAAAUAUCUUUAUUCCUUGCCGUGGAAUGUGGAAUUUUAAUUUUAAUUUUAAUUGAUUUCUGCAGGUUUUUGGUGAAAAAUCUUUUGAGAAAUUUGGGAAGUAUUUCAUCUCGAUGCACUUCUCGGAUCAGCAUUCGGGCAUGCACAAGAAGAUGCUGUUGUUCAAGUUUGCCCUCCCAGAUGCCAACAACAUGGCAGAUAUUUCUCGUCUAGUAGCCCUUGUGCCCUAUUACAUUGACACUGUUGGACGCUACAAGCUCAGUUCACAGGUAAACUUCAUACACAAGACACACACACAUAUUACUUCGCUCAGAACUUUCUAAAUUCUAAUUGUUGGUGAUGCAGGCCCGCUCGAAAACUGAAGCUGCCAGGUCGAAGGCUGCUCAAGAGGCACACAGAGAGCUUCAAAAUGCAAGGCAAGAAGCACUGCAGAAGAGGAAGGCAGAGAAGAAGAAACUGAUGGAAGAAGCUGAAGCCAAAUUAAGUGCUGAGGCUCUUCGACGGAAAGAGGCGAAAGACCGUGCCAAGCAGAUGAAGAAAGCAAUGCCAAAGAUAAAGAUGAGCCGCACACGUUAGGGACUCAAUUUUUGUCCGAUGCAUCAACCAUGAGUGGCAAAGCAAACUUGCCUCUUCUUCAUCUAGUUUUCUAAGCUCGUUUAAGAGCUCAACAAGGGUUCCUGGUUUCAUUGCAAAUUUUGAUGAUCAGGGUAGUGGACCGUGUACUUUUAGAUUGCAUUACACUAGCUCGUCAUCCCAUAAUAACAGUACUAUAGAAACUAGCUUUCGUUUUUUUUGCUAAAUUAAUUCCCUUUUUUUUCUCUAUUUUAGUUCUCUACCUUUGGUGGCCUUUUAGUCAUUGAGAACGAUCUGGUUGCAUAGGACUUUUACUGAAGUGUAAUGUUGAAGUCUUACUCCAAUGGUGAAUUAUAGACCUCUUUUGAGACGAUCAGAUGGUUUGUUUUCUUUUUACAAGUUUUGUCAAAGGGAUGAAUAGAAUCAAUUUUGCUCUUUUAAGGUAUUGCUUGGUGUUGGGACUAGGAUUUAUUGAUGCGGUCAACACAAGCAUAUUACUGUCCAUAUUAAUUCAUUACACCAAACUUCCAACUAUGAACUACAAAGAUGUAGUAUAGCUUUAAGUUUGAGGUCGAAUUCAAGAGCAUUGAAUUAAGUGCUUUUGUCUACAAUAAAAUUUUUUAUUUAUAAAGGGAGUUUUGUAAAGCUGAUAUUGUAAGAAAAUAUAUGUACAAGAAAAUGAACUUGUUUUUGGUUUAUGAAUUGAUAUUUAGAACGCCCAAAGAAUUAAAGAUUUUCUCUCAAUAGAAUGAUUGAGAAUGAGAAACUUAGGUAACUUUCUAUCAUUCAAUGAAAUCAAGAAAAUGUAAAAACAAUUGCAACCGACAGCAAACUAGAGGAUUAAAUACUAAUUACCCUAAAUUCAUGAACAGGAAUUACUUCACAUUCAAUCUAAAUUCUUUCUAUGCAUUUUCAUCUAAGUAAUUUUCAUGCAUAUUCUAAUUUUUCUUUAAAUUCUUAGGAUCAAUGUGAUAAUUUCAUGCACGGAAUGCCUACAUAAAAUAAUAUUGGUACUAGUUUAAUUCAACUAGAUAAUUCUAGAAAAAAAUUGAAAGAGAAAUGUUUAAAAUCAAUUCAAGAUUCACAAGUUUUUCAACUUAAUCUAAAGAAUUGUGCUUAGCAUCAUUAAAUUUAAACAAGAAUUCAAGUUCAAUGAUUGAACUUUGUCAUUUAGACAAAAAAAUCAAUACAAGAUCGAGCAUGAAAUUCAAAACAAGAUUUGCAAUCGUUCAUCAUUCAAAGUGAAAGUUCUCAAGAUAAUACAUCUAAAAUCUUAUUCCCAAUAAAAAAUACCUCUAGUUCUUUAUCUUUCUAGUUAAAACUUCAAGAAAUUUGAUGAACGUCGAAGUAAUCUUCAAAGAGAUUGUAGUAUUUAAUUCAUCUGAUGCAAUUUCUAAAUAUGUAACGUUGCAACACUAUGGUUACUAAAACCUUUUCUUCAUUUUUGCUCUAAUUUGCUUGCUUUUCUCGUGAUUUAGCUUGUUUUGCAUCGUAAUCAUUCAGGUAGCCUAGGAUGCUUAUUAUUAUUAUUAUUUUUAUAAAAAUAGUAGAAUAAACAUUAAAUUCAUGAGAAUUAUUGGGCUUAGGAAAGUAGUGCUUUUUUUAGCAAUGUCAAAGGUCAUACUUAUGUUUAAAAGCAUGUAAGAUAAGUGUUGUAGUAAGUAAACUCUUGAAGUUGAUAAAAGUUAAGCUUAUUCAUAUUGUGGUUUUCAUCACAUAGUUAAGACGUAUAAUGGAAUGUGGGUUCAAUAUUUAAGUUGCAUUGACUCUUUGAUGUGCCUUGCAGCCUCAUGACAUAAUGAAUUAAAAUUGAUAAAGGUAUUAAAAGUGUAAAAUGUCAAGCCAAGCAUAGAGUUAGUCAAAUUCACCCUAAGCAUUGAGUGUCAAUACACCAAAGAAUAUUGGACACUUCACUCUCCAGUCGCAUUCUCUCUCGAGCUGGGUCAGUAAAAUGGGAGGAGAUGUGUAAACCCUAUACUUUAGGAUCUCUAAGUCUGUUAAAAGUUCUUGUAGUAGCCUGGGUGAAAGAAGUUAAGGAGAAAUCUUAUUAGAAGUGUUAUCAAUAAGUGAUAUUAUUGAGGUUUCAUGGUUUAAGUGACGUAGGUGUCAUGGCAUGCAAAUAUGUAGGUUUUACAAGCAGAAGGUGUGGAGAGAAAACCAUGCAAAUAGAAGGAGUCAAAAUAUUUCCAUGCAAGGUUCACAAUAAAUAGGGUAACUUCAAGUGGUUAGAAUUUUCAUUUUCCUUGUGCAAAUUUACACAAAACAAUCACAAAAAAACCUUGAGUGGGUUCAUUUGUUAAGGCAGGGUUUCCAAACUAAAAAGAGUUGAGGAAGAAGUUCAACUUCUGAGCUAAAGCACCAGAGGUCACUUUUAGACAAGUUUGAGCAGUGUUAGGUUCUUGAGGGGCUAUAGAAUAACACAUUACUUGGAAUCUUAAACUGAAAUUUGGAGGUUGGAUAUUUAAGACAAUUCUAAAAAACUUUGUAGAAGGAAGUUUCUUUUUUGAGAUAUGAAUUUUAAAGUUAUUGACUUUCAAAGUUGGGUUUAGGUUCUACACGAAAAAAGAAAAUCUAGGCAGAGUUGAAGGUUGGCCGAGUGGCAAGAAAGACAAGGCGAGCUGGAUGUUUAAGAUAGGAAAAAGAGGUUAGUAUGGACUUUGGAGCAAGCGAGUAACAAGGCAAGAGCACAGCUAGGCGACGUGAGGUACGCGUCUAGGCCAUGCAACAUGCCUUGUGUGCGUGGAUGCACGUAACACACAAGGUGUGCGACCAUGGGGAACACAACAAGCCCAGGUGUGAGGCUAGCACGAGGUCAAGCUACUCAUUGUCCCAUGCAAGUGCUGAUAACGUGUAUAAACACUCGUUAUUAUAGCCUCUUGUAUUAGAAUAAUGAGAUCAAAACGCAUUCUUUUUACAUUUGGAAAUAAGAUGUAAAAUUAAAUACAAAGAAAAAAAGGACAAGAAAUUCACUUGGCAACAACACUGGUUUUCACUUCAUCAGAAGGUUGAAUAUAUUUCCAACAAAAUCCAAGAGUGCUCCCCAUCAUGUUCAUUAUCACAGCUGAAAUUGCUGGAGGCAAUGCCACCAUUGCUGAACUAAAAUGUGAGGCUGCCAAAACAACUCCCAGUGAUGAAUUCUGCAUCCCAACCUGAAGCCAAAAUCCACACCCUCUCAUUCAUAUAUCUAUGUUUUUCAAUUUCUCGAUAAGUGAAUGUCGUUUUGUUACCUGCAUGGAUAUAGUUCUUCGUUCUCGUUCUCGAAACCCACAGAUAGCAGCUGCUAUAUACCUGCAAAUCAGAGGAAGCUCGUAAGGGUGUGUAGUGAGCCAAUUGACUAAUUUCAUCUUUUAUAACAAUAUUUGACUUCAUAUUCUUCUUGCAAACAAGGAUCAGUAUCUACAACAUAUGAGAAGAUUCUGUUUUGGGAGAAAACGCAAAAUUUCAUCCAUCUUAUGUAGUUCAUCAGUGACUAAGUAUUCAUUUUGGUUCAUUACUUUCAGUAACAUCUCAAAUGAUUUAUAUUGUAAACAAUUUGUUUAGCUUCUGCAUUCGAGCAACUAAGUCCAUUGAGGUGAGGAAAGAGAUGCAACUUACCCGACGAAGAAACCAGCAAAGUGUAAACAAAACACCGAAAGUAUUACUACUCCCAGCUCUCCUGAUAAUAUACUUUUAAGGACUGUCCAUAGAGAUGCAUCAGAGGCCAAUGUGGCACUAACCAUUGACGAUUUGAUACGAAUGACAUUCUCUGAGAAGACACUAAUCAUAAAAAAAAAUAAUCAAAGGUGUGUGAGAGCGAAAAACAGUAAAAGGCUUUUCAUCAAGUUUCCAUGGUAAGCACAACUUAUUGAAGCCAAAAAAAAGAAAAAGAAAACAAUUGUUGAAGAACCGAGACCUGCUAGCAAGCAGCGAGGAAGUUAAAACAGCAACAAGUGGUGCAAAUGGUAACACCAAUUUCACCAGGGAAGGAAAUGCCUUUUGCAAGCAAGAACCUAACAGGAUAGGAGCUACCACCACCUAACCAAAAAACAAGACGAUGGCGAUGACUUAAGAACAUGACUAUGGCUGGAAGGCAAAUGAGGACAUAACUUUACCUGAAGGGUGCUGAGAGAAAGCUGUGCAGCGUCGACUGGAAUAUAAGCUCCUACUAGAAACUUUGUCAGAAAAGGAGUGAAAAUUACGGCUCCUAAAGUUGUGCAUACUGUCAUUACAAUAGACAAAGGAACGUCGCCUUGAGCAAUUAAGGUUACCUGAAAUACUAUUUCAUUGAAGUAACCGUGAACGGAAAACUUAAUCAAUCAACUUAUUGUGAUCAAGGCUGUAAAGUAGGAAAUGCAGUUCAACUGUUGAUGAUUGCAUUCAUAAAGUUUUCCAUAAUGCUUAACUAAGACGACUACUUUGAACACAAAAAUGUGUUACUCAGCCUUAUGGAUGAAAACUCUGUUAAGAAACAUCCAUCUCUCAAAUCGAGUACAAAGAUGCAAUAAAUAAAUUAAUUAGCAGUCAAAUAUCAAGAUGAUUAAUCACCAAUUUCAACUGUAAUAACAACAGCAACAACAAAACUGAGCUAUAUAUUCUUAAUCCAACAUUCGUGUAUAAUUUUUUUGAAUAAACUUUUAGAACAUUUAUAAGCAUCAUCUUCUGGGAAGAAUUUUCAUUAAUUAAGAACAAUACAAUCCUAUUUCUAUCUUUGCGACUAUGAUGUCCGGUAUUAGUUUCUUUCCGUUUUUGUUCUUUUUAAGUUUUUUAUUGACCAUCUGAAUUUUGUUUUAUGUUUUUAGAUUUACUAAGUUCAACAUUUUUUUUAACACUGUUCUUGAAUUAUGUGAUCCAAGAAGAACAUAUUCUGAAAAAACAUUUUUAUGUUUGUAUUGUAUCGAGAUUUUGAAUUCUAAAUUUUAAAAUACAGGAUUAUCUUUUGAACAUUAUUUUAUUUCCUAGUAGGUUGCGGCUCUUCACUCUCUACUCUUUUUUUUUUUUUUUUUUUGCCGUUUUUAGGAGAGAAACAAAAGUUAUAAGAAAUUAAACAGAACAAAUAAGAAAACAGAGAUCAUAGGCAUUAUUACCACAUUGGAAGCAGAUCCUCCAGGACAACAUCCAAGCAAGACCAAACCGAACAAAAGGGACUGGGAAAGUCCCAAAAGUUUUCCGAUCAGCACUGCAGAAGCUGGCAUAAUCGUGUACUGAGCUACACAUCCAAACAAUAUCUAAAACAAAGCAACAGAGUCAAAACCAUCAAGCAUUACCACAAACCCCCGGUUCCAUCCCAUCAAAUCAAAUCAAUAACCAAAAUACACACAAUGUAAACAAAUUCAGAUUCCAAAAACUCACCGAAAGAGGUCUUUGCAUGAACAAAUUAAAUAAAUCCUUGAUCUCUAGAGUAAGCCCCAUGGCCAACAUUAUCAAACCAAGAGAUAAGCUAUAGGAACUCGGCCCUCUCUGCACAAACCACGAGAAGGUCGAGGGUUCGAGGCAAGCAACAAUCCCGCCUGCCGUCACAUAGAGAGGGUAGAGACUAGCCGCCGUGGAAAGAAAAUCGUCCAAACCAGUGGGUUUUGGCGGUGGCGAGGGAGAUGGGUGUUCGUUAUUUUGUUGAACCGAUCGGACGGUGAGUGAUCUGGGCGGCGAGAGAGGGGGAAUUGGGGGUCGGUGAAGGCGGAGAUUAGGGCGGUGGAUUAGUGGAGAAAUGAAGGGGGUGAGUUGCAGAGAAAUCGGAGGCAUUGUGCAGAAUUCUGUGGCUCCGAUUAGUGAAGAAAAGAAGGGGAAUUGAAGGAGAUGAUAGAAAUUGGGUGAAGUGAUGCAUACAAACACGGGUUGUAUUUUGUGAAACGACAAGAUUGUGUUGGGAGAUUAUUAGGAAGCAAGAGAUCGCUAUCAACAAAUUAGUAGAAAUAUUGGUCCAAAGCAAGAGGUUGGAAUUUGAUAGUUUUUCUAACAACAUUUUUUUUCAUCUUUGAGUUCAUUCGUUUUCUAUCACAUGAAGGCUUUGGACAAUUAGUUAAACAAAUUCAUUGCAUAUUGAAAUUUGUUCGUCAGUAAUUCCUCUAUUUUAGAUGGCUUGUGAUCUAUAUGUGUGUGUUUAAUUUUGAAUCUAAUUUUGUUUUCUUUUUAGGACUUCUCUUUGUUUUAUCCUAAAACGAGAGAUAAUGAUGGUGGAAGACUAUGAGGGAGAAACACAGUCUGCAUUUGCCAAUGUAUAAUAAGGUAACUGAAGAUAUGAUUAUUCAAAGUAGACAAAUAUAUAUAUAUAUAUAUGUAUAUAUAAUCAAAUUUUGAAAACAUAUUAGUAAAACACACUCGCCCAGAAAUCAAAGAUCCAAGGGGAGUUUUCUGUUUCCUUUAUUUUGUUCUCGUGUUCUUGUUUUAAAUCUAAUACUUCAGGGACAAAAGCAUGCUUCUAAAGUUGAGUGGUUUGGUUUAGAUUGUUUGCACAAUUUUUGUGUAUUUUUUACCAAAAUUUAAAAAAUUUCGCUUCUCAUAUGCUAAAUUGAGUCUUGCUUGUAUAUUGAUUCAUGCAUGGAUAACCCUUGAGCAUCCCAACUUUGUUUUAUGGUUUUAAUGAUGAUGGAAUGCAUGAAUUGAAUGUAUAUUGAUUCAUUCUUGUUUCCUGAACUAACUAGUUGGUUAUUUGUUCUAUGGUAGAAAGAAUGCAAUAAAAUAUUUUAAUUCCGACUUUAAUUUGAUUGAGAUCAGGACUCUAUUACUUUUAUUGUGCUAAUAUCUUUUUUAAUUACACAAAACCAUUUACUUGCUUUCUCUCUUUUACUUUUUUGCAUUGUCACCACAAAAAACCCAUCUGCACAUCUGAUUAUAUUCUUGAUCUCUUAUUAAAUAUGUACAUGUGUAUUUCCUUAACAUAGAUCCUUUUGGGUUUUACCAUGAACUUACUUUUUGCUACAUUUUUACUAGCUUCUUGGGUUAUGAUUAACUUUGCAUAUUUCUUAAUUAUCUUUUAAUAACACUCCUAUUAACCUUUUGAAUCAAUGGAACACAAGAUAUAUCUAUAACGAGAAGAGUAUAUGUACAAUCAUGAUUAGCCUACUUGAUUAGUGUGUUAGUUUCUUCUACCAUCAAACACAAAUCUCAGUAUGAAUUAGCUAAAUUAAAUACUAGUAAUAAGUUUGCAUGUGAUUUUUGGUUAUAUAAUACACGAUUUGAUUGUGUAAUUUGGAUGAUAUGGAACUUGUUGGAUUUUUGAGAUCAAAAAAUACUUGUGUGUUCAUAGACUCAUUUUCUCUGGAAGACUCAAAAACCAAUUUGCAAACUUGAUUUCAUCCCAUUUCAUGAAGAAUUGAGGGAGAGAAUUUCGAGCUUCAAAGAUAAGCAAUCAAAAUUUUAUUUUCUUAAAUUUUUCCUACCAUGCUUAAUCUUCAAAAUUCGAGUUUUUUAAUUUGAUUCUCUUAUGCUAGCGGGUUAAUUUAACUUUCAAUCUAAUUAAACCCAAACUUCUUCUUCUCUCUCAUCCAAAGAAACCUACUUAGAACAAAAAAAGGAAAUCGAAGGGGAGGGAAAAAAAGGACUUCUUGGAGGAGGAGGAAAAUUAAAGAAGAUUGAGUGAGAAGAAGACUCGCCUAGUGGGUAUAGAUUUGGAGAGAAGAAAAACGGGUUAAUUUUUAAUUUACACUUAUCGUCACUUUUCACCUGACCCACACGAGACCCAAAUCGAGUUGGGUUAGAUAUGUCAUUAUCGGUACAAAACUUAUCUAGAUCAAAUCGGGUCGAUUUAGUUGAAAACUAGACCCAACCAAAAUCGUUUGCACCUAUAUAAUCGUGUGUCAAGUUUACCAACAUCACUAUAAACGAGUGCAUACAAGAUCGACAAGUAUAUCAAUAUAUGAGUGAAGUACAUAAGUAUAUCAAAUGUAUCAAGUGUUAUUUGUUUUUAUGAAUGGUUUGAGCAUUUGCGACAUUUUAAAUUUUUAUAUGCAAGUUGAGCUCUUUUUUCUUCUUUUAUCAUUUUUAAAAACAAAGCAGGUAUAAUUAUGAUUAACUUUUCUUAUUUUCUUACCAACAUUUUUUAUUAUAAUCCACAAACUAUAAUAAUCAAUUGGUGGAUCCAAGAACUCCAAACACUUCCUUAAGCCUUAUUGAAAGUUCAUGAACCAAAAUUAGAAGAGAAAGAAGAAACGAAAAAACAAGGGAGAGAUGUAAUUAGAUGAGAAAGGAGAGGCCUGCAGUUUUGUAGCCAUGGAUGUCAGUUCCAGCCCACCCUGAUGAAUGAAAACAGCCGUCAAAUUAUGAUCAUCAAUCAGAUCAAUGUCCGAUGUAAAGCCCUACCUUUCAACUUGCUUUUUGUAGAAGCCUAUAAGUUAAAGCUUUUAGUAAGGGCUGGGUUUCCCUUCCUCAAAUUGGUAUGUCAAGUUUUUUAUUCCAACUUGAUUUAAUAAUUGAAUUCUUGUUUUUAGUGAGCAGAAGGCUCAAUAUUUCUCCAAAAAGAUCCAAGACUGCUUCCCAUCAUGUUCAUUAUCACAGCUGACAUUGCUGCUGGCAAUGCCACCAUUGCUGAACUGAAAUGUGCUGUUGCCAAAACUACUCCCAAUGAUGAAUUCUGCAUCCCUACCUGAUCAUUUUUCAUUUCAUAUUUUCUAUUUUAAUUUCAAUUCUUUUAUCCAAAAAGAAUAAAAUAAAGAAGGAAUAUAAUGUCAUUUGAGUUCUUAUUCAUAUACCUCAAGGGAUAUAGCUCUUCGUUCUCGUUCUCGAAACCCUCCGAUGGCGGCUAUCGUGUAGCUGUAAAAAGAGGGAAAAAUGAGAUAAACACACGGUUGCUAAUAUGUCAAUUCAUUGUUUACGAUAUUAGCAUUGAUUUUCAAUUGACGGGGGCUCCAUAUUAUGUAUAUAGCUUAAUCAUUACUCUAGAUAGGGUGAACUAUUUUUUUGGCCGAUCUAAUGAUAUAGCUUGAAUUGUGUUUCCCAAGUGGCCUAUAAGUUUAGUUCUAGAACUUAACUAGGAUCUUAUUCCUCUUCUUGAAUCACACUUGGAACUCUGAAUUUAAUUUUCAAUCAAAUCUUUAGUUUUGAUCAAUGUUACGUCGAAAAAAAAUAUAACUGACGUUUGAAUUAACAUGAGAGCCGUAAUUGAUGAACUAAGAUCGUAGAUGAUAUAUGAAUGAAACAAAUUCUAAUUUAAAAUAUGUACAUAUAUGUUAAAAAAUCUACUUAUAAAGGUAUAUUACUCUUCAUACUAACGAUAUGUGUAAUUAGUUUCUGUUUGAUAGCACAAUUACAAAAUUAAAUUACUGCUUCAAAGGUGAAUAAAGUGAUAUUUUAAAUUUUACCAAAAUUAAGUCAUUUUUAUUUAACUUCUUACAAUAAAAACAAAAUUCAGAACUAAUUUUGAAAAUAUUUCAAAAACUAUUUGGAGUGUGUCAACCCUUCAAUGCUUUUUCAAAAUGAUCUAUUUGCAAAAUUUACAUUUCAAAAGUUAAACGAAACUCAUAAUAAAUAUGGAUUUAUUUCACAUAUAAGCUUGACUAUUUUUCUGCUUAAUUCCCAUUUUACUCUCCUUUGAUGAGUACAAGUUUCAACUAGCUAGUUAAUUGAUCUCUCCAACUAUACAAGUCAUCUUACAAUUGUUAGGUCUUCUAAGCAUUCACACAGCCAAAUUCAUGUGCGGACAAAGAGAGAAAGAGAUGGUGACGACUUACCCCACGACGAAACCAGCAAGGUGUAAUGAAAACACUGCAAGUAUUACAAUUCCCAGCUCUUCAGACAACAUCGUUUUUAUGGCAAUCCAUGGAGAUGCGUCGAAGCUCAACGAUGAACUAACAAGUGACGAUUUGAAACGAACUAUAUUUUCUGAGAAGACACUGAUGAAAAAUAAAACAAGGAUAAUUAAUGAAAAAAAGUGCACAAACAAUUUUAAAAAAUGAUAAAAAAUUUAAGAGAAAAAGAAAACCUGCAAGCAAGGAGUGAGGAAGUUAAUACUGCAAAAAGUGGUGAAAAUGGUAUGAUUCUUUUCACCACCCCAGGGCAAGUUUUCUGUAAGUAAGAACCUAUCAAAAUAGGAACUACCACCACCUGUCAAGAAAGAGUUAAAACUAUAUAAAAUCAGUUGACGGUAGUUUGACAUUCUGUAUAGAAUAAGUUUUCGUAAAAGUAGUUUUAUAAUUUGUUUGACCUGAAGAGUACUGAGCGAGAGCUUUAUAGCGUCGACGGGAAUGGAAGCACCGACCAAUGUUCUAGUGAGAAAGGGAGUGAGAACUACAGCUUGGAGAGUGGUGCAUACUGUCAUUAUAAUAGACAAAGGAACAUCCCCUCUAGCAAUUAAAGUUACCUGAAAUAUGAUUUACUUUAACCCUUUAAAAUUAAUUUAAUAUUUUAGCUUACACACCACAACUUAUCUAUGAUAAAAUUUAUUCGUGAUAGACUUCUCGGUUGCUUAUAUGGUUUUUAGUGAUUACUACUACAAAUUUGACCUUCUUUGAUAUAUGCAAAAUACGUCAAAAAAUGUCUACUACAAAUUUGGUCUUCUUUGAUAUGCAAAACACAUAAAAAAAAUGUGUACCGUAGGCAGAUAUCAAGAAAGCCUGAUCAUCAAGAAAACUAGUUUAACAUGUAAUAAAAACUUAUUCUUUUUUUCUCACACCCACCUUAGGUGAGAAUUGUCCCUAACAAUUGUAACAUUGAUGACCAAAUUUAUAAACCGCUUCUACAAAUUUUUAAUACAGGUGUGGGAAUUUGUACCCGACACUUCUUGUCCAUAGAUAUAUACAUGUGUCAGUAGAGCUAAGCUUAUAUUCUACAACUUAUACAAAUUUUAAAAACUCUAAAUUACAAAUUUUUAAUUCAACUCAUUAAAGUUGAACACACAGUGACUAAUUUAGUUUUCAUAAAGUUACUUAUUUCAAUCUAAUUAUGAUUACAACAGUUAACUUUUAAAAAAGUAAUAUUAUAUUAUAAAUGUAUAGACAUUAAUAAUUGAAAAAAAAAUAGUAAAGCUUUAAGAAUACUAUUGAUGAAUAUUGUGUUUUCUGAGUCCAUUAUCGAAGGUCCGAAUUUCGUGCUUACUAAAAAAUAGUAUUUCGUGCUUACUAAAAAAUAGUUUUUUCAUGAUGGACAAUGCCUAUCAAAAUAUCAUUUUUUAUGAGUCUUGCCCACGAUCUUAUCCUAAAUUCAGAAUUAAAAUUUUUUAAUUGAUGGACAAUGUCCAUCAAGAUAUCAUUUAAUUUUCUUGAUGGACUUUGCCCAUCAUUUUUUUUUUGUCUUUGUCCAUCAAGAAACCCUAGACCCAUCAAAAAAACUCUGAACACAUGAAAAAAAUCCAAAGCAAAUAUAUUAAUUUUUUUCGAUGAUGACCAUUGCAAAUCAAGAAAAUUCAUUCCUUGAUGGACAUCGUCCAUCAAGAAAACCUAUCUACUUGAUAAAUAUUGUCAGUCAACUAAUAUACUAUUUUUUAUGUUUAUUGUCCAUCGAGAAAUAAUUUUAUUAAAUAAGGUGAUUUUUUUUUACGUACAUGACCGUUAAGAUAAACAUUGUAUCAAGAAAAAUAUGGUCAUUUGUCAUGACCAUCAAGAAAUAAAAAAUUUGUGUGUGUCAAGAAAGACCAAAUUUGUAGUAGUGAAUAGAAAAAUAUUUGCAACAUGGUCUAUUAGUAAUGUAUUUGUAUUAUUUGGUAGAAUUUGAGAUAGUCGGUUAUAUUUGAAUUAAUUUUUAAAAUGAUGUCAUAUAUUUAAUUAUUUUAAAAGUUAAUAAUAUUAUCUCUUGUUUUAUUUUAUUUGAAAAUUUUAGUUGUCUUCUUGUCACCCUCAUUUUUUGAAAAUUUUGAAAUUAUAUUUAAUGUAUUUCAAUUUUUUGUUGGGUAACAAAUAUAAUAUACCCAAACAAAGAGUAUGCUCAGAAAAAAAUAUAUUAUAAAUCGUUUAAUAAAAAUAUUAAUUACAUAAACAAACAACAUAGAGGCCAAAACACCAAUCCCAUCCUUGGAAAUUGAGAAUUGAGGGAAAAAGAAAAUAAAGAAAGAAGAGAAGGACAAACAAAUUACCACACUCGAAGCGAUCCCCCCCGGACAACAUCCAAGCAAGAUCAAUCCCACGGAAAGCGCUGGCGCUAACCCAAGAAACUUUCCGAUCGCUGCUCCCACCACCGGCAUAAUUGUGUACUGAGCUACACAUAAAUAUAAUAUCUGACCACCCAAAGAAAACAAAACGAUCAACGAACUCAUAAUCAUUUUCACAAUGGAGAAUAAUCUAUGUCGAAAAAUGUUAUUCCAAAUCACCAUGCACCCUACUUUUUAAAAAAAUCAAAUUGCUACCUCACAGUCUAUCAUUGGAGCUAGCCCGCAGCUUGGGAUGAAGAAAUGGGUGUAUCUAUCUAAGAGAAAGCUUCAUAAUUUAUAUUGACUUUCACAUACAACUUGAUAUCUUAUAUGAUAUCAGAGUCUGUUAAAUCGAAGAAUAGCAUUUCAAGAGAUAAUUUUCUUUUUUAUAUAAAAAAAAAACUCACAGAAAGUGGCCUCUGCAUGAAGAGAUUGAACAAAUCCUUAAGCUCAAGAGUGAGUCCCAUGGCCAACAUAACCAAACUAAGAGCCAAGCUAUAGGAACCCGGCCCUCUCUGCACGAACCACGAGAACGUCGACGGUUUCAUGCAAGCGACAAUGCCACCACUUGUUAUAUAAAGAGGGAACAGCCCCGCGGCGGUCGAAACAAAUUUCGCCAAACGGUCAGUUUGUUUUUGGGGCGGUGGUGGCAGUGGCAGAAGCUCCGUAUCUCGUUGUAGUGAUCGGACGAUAGCGAGGUAUCCGGGUGGUUUCGGGGGUGGGAGAAGAAGAGGGUUGAGCCGGAGGGGCUUGUAGAAAUGACGACCCUGGUGCAGAGAAGGGGAAAAGAAAGGGGUAAACUGAAGAGAAAUAGAAGACAUUUGAUGAAUAGAGAAUGAGAUGAAGAGAAUAAUGGUUUUGGUUUUGUUUGUGUGUUUUCCCAAAAUGAAGGAUCAAAUAAAUAAGUACAUCACUCCCUCAGUAUUUCUGUGUGAUUCUCCGAUCAUGCCUUUGUAGUUUUUGGCCUCUUCUGCCCAAUUAACUUUUUUACAUUUCACUAUAAAAUCAUAUCUUAAUUUAAUUACUUAAUCCUAUCAUUUCCCUUGUCCUUUAUCAAAAUUAGAUUAUUGUCUUAUUUAAGACGAAUAAUGUAGGUGGGCUAAAUUGAUUACAAAGAGAUAGAUGAUAGAGACAUUUUAAAAAAUAAUAUAAAUUAACAACAAAAAUUUAUUUUGAGAUUUAUUAAAAGUAUGAAAAUUAAGUUUAGGUACAUGGAAGACUUUCAUAAUAAAAUACAAUAACUUCUAACUUAAGACUAAAUUAGUUGCAUUGAACAAUAUUUAGAAUAAUAUUACAAUUAAUGUAGAAAUGAAAUAUUCAAAUCUAUUAUUUAAGAGUCAUGCUUUAAUCAUCCAACUAUAUUAUUAUUGUUUUUUAUUUUAAAAAUAUUUCAAUAUUUAUCUAAGUUUUUUUUUCUAUUAAAUAUUUAUAUUUUGAGUUGACUUUUAAAAAGUAAUUGUAAUUGAUGGAUAUUUUUGAAAUAAUAAUUAAGGAUAUAUAAAUAUUUUUAAAAAUUGUAAAUAUAGCAAAACUAUCGUUGAUAGACUCGUAUGAUUUAUCAAUAAUAAACCAAUAUUUACAAUAUAGUCUAUCGGUAAUUGACUUGUAUCAUUGAUAGAAUUUGACAAAUUUUGCUAUAUUUGUAAAUUUUUUAAAAUGUUGUUAUAUACUCAAUUAUUUUGAAUCUAAUUGCUUAAUCUGCAACUACCCCUCUAAAAACGUAAAACAUUUUGACAUAUAAAUGAGAAUCUUUAUUUUUUCUUAUAAACGAUUUUUUUUUUCACAUUUAUGACAUAUAAAAUAUAAACAAUUUUUUCAUACUUUUUUUAUUAUUUAGGUCCAUAAAUUUGGGUUGCUAAAUCUUAACAAAUUUUUAAAAAUUUUUAUUUAGAUUUCAGGUUUAAAUUUGGGGUAGCUAAAUCUUAACCAUUUUUUAAAGAUUUUUUUGGUGUUGUUUUUAAAGAAACGAUGAAAAGAAUGACAAACCUAAAAUAUUUAAAUGGAUAGUUGUAAAUUUAGCAAUUAGAUUCAAAAUAAUUAAGUAUAUAGCAACAUUUUAAAAAAUUACAAAUAUAACAAAAUUUGUCCAAUUCUGUCGAUGAUAAAAGUCGACAGACCAUGUUGUAAAUAUUAGUCUAUCACUGAUACUUGAUAGUUUUGUUAUACUUGCAAUUUUUUUAAAUGUUGCUAUAUUCUUAAUUAAUUAUUAUUUCUAAAAUGGUCAUUCGUUUCAUGGAUUUUUUUUUUAUUUUGUUAUACGAACCGUAAAUAUUUUUUCAUUUAUUAUAUUUAUAAAAAUUAAUAAAAAUAUUAUUAUUAGUAUAAUAUGGAUAACUUAAAGUUUAUGAUAUCACUACAAUAUAUAUAUUAUAUUGAUGAAUUUUUAAAUAUAUGGAUGGAUUUUCUUCGAAAAAUAAAUUAUAAUUAUCACAAAAUUUUUUAUAGAAAAAUAGUGCGUACAAACUUAUUUGAGUACUUAACUAUCAAAUUAUUUAACUUAAUUCGUAUCUUAUUCUAUUUUGGUUUAAAUUUCUAUCUGAAUUUCUAAACUUUAUAUCUUAUGUUAUUUAGCUUUCUUGAACUUCUAAAAUUGACUAUUUUAGUCUCUAAAACUUUUUUGAAAAAUGUCCUGCCAUUCAAAUUGAAUAAUGGUAUGACUUUUAUAUUUGGAUGAUUAUGAUCUCGAUAAAUCAUAUUACUUAAAUUGGUACAUAACUAUAAAAAAUAUCUUGUUAAUUUAUUCUAUAAAUUCUUUCAACAAAAAAACUCAAUUAGUACAUUUAUCAAAUAAAUCCAAAAUCUAAUUUUUUUUUUCUUUUUCUUCUCCAAAACACAAAUGUUCAAAUCUCUCACAUCCCCUACUCGGCUUCCUCGUCUCCCUACUAUUCUUCUUUAUAUAUAUAUAUAUAUUUUGGAAUCUUGAAACAAAUGAAAAAAAAACAUUUAGUAUAAUAAAAAAAAUUGACAUAUAUGUGUUUCAUUAUGAUAAGAUAAAAUAAACUAAAAAUGUAAAAUAUGUACAAUUCAAGCAUAAAAUAAACUCUAUGAAAUUGCAGAAAAAUAUUCCCACAAUUAAUCACAUACCCCAAGAAAAAGAAAGAAUCGAGAACAAAAGAAAAGAAAAACACCUUAAUGAAUCACAACAUAACCCAAACUUGAGGCAUUAAAAGGUUUGUAUGUAGAUGAAACUACAUCUAGCAUGCAUUCAUCAAGUAAAGUAAAACGUCAAAACGGCGAGAAUCAAAAUCUUGAAUGCAAAAUAACCUUUUAAAGUUUUUCGAUAAAAUAUCAAUAUAUUUGUCAUGUAUGCCUCUAAUUAAAAAUUAAAACUCUAUAUUUUUAAAAGUGAUUAUCUCAUACUACAAAACAUCGACAUAGCCUGAAAAAGCGUCAACAAAAGUUGUUAACUAACGCCUUCUAAGCAUCAGUAGAAACCAUCAGGAGAGCCUAUAUGGACGCCUUUUUUAGCAUCGGUAUAAACUGUUUAAUAUAAUGUCAACGCAUAAAAAUGGUUGGUUUUUCCAACGUCAGCUCAGAGACGUUGACAAAACCACUCUAGGUCGACACAUUGUUAUGGCCUCGGGGCUUUCUCGACAACUGCAUGUGUAUACAUCGGGGUAUGUUACUUGAUAUACAUUGAAAAUGCUUCCUAAAUGUUACAUAUUGCAUCGAGAUAGACCACUUCUACUAAAAUCCCAAAGCCUAAAGCGCCUUCAUUUUUCCAUAAGAAAUAUUUUAUUUUUAAAAGCAAUAUAUUUCUCUUAGCUUUGAUUGUAGCUAAAUUUAUUGAUAAAAUAUUUACAAACAAUCUAUCUAAAGCAAAGUAUUUCAAAAACAUACAACAACGUUUAUUUAAAUAGUCAUAAGCAUCCUUACAAAAAUCUCAAAACAAAAUAACUUAUAUUAAUUUAGAGUAGCAAAACACAUUAGUCAUAAAGUUUUUUGAACAUAAAAAGAUACCCGAGUUUAACAUAGCACAUAAACAUUGGCCAAAAUAAAAGUUUAACUUAUAUAUAUCUAAACACAUUAUUCAUACAAACCAUAUAAAAAUCGAAUCUCACAUUCUCCAAAUACAACAACAAUUGCAAGCAAUCGUUAACUCGUUAUUCUCAAUUCUUUAACUCGUAUUUUGUUAACACAUACAAAAACAAAAUAAUAACACAAAAGUGAUUGUCCAUAAAUGACAUGAGGAAUGGACAGAAAUAUAGACCAAUCGAUCAAGCAUUAUGAUUCAAAUGCUAUGAAUGUUGAAUUUAAAUAUGGAACCAUAAGAAUAUGUAAACACAAGAAUGAAAACCACAUAAAGUUUCUAAAAAGUGUCCAAGUGACGUUUUCCCUCUCAAAACAAACAAGAAGCAUCCAGUCACACCUACUCUUUGAAACUUUACUUCUCAGGUCAAUACUCUUUGAAACUGACUACAUUUGUUAAAAAUUGCAAAAGCAACACCUUUUAGCACAAGAACUUAGAAGGAAAAAAAAGUUUGAUACUAAGGAAAGCAAGUCUAUCACACAAUAAUUUCUUAACUCACAAUGAAAUCUAGUCUUCAACACAUAAGAUCAACAAGGAAUAAUUUCAGUCAAGAUAAGAACACUCAUCCUUAUAUUGAAACAAAAUUUAAGUUGUUUUGGAAAACUUAAUUACCAUGUGGACUACAUGUGGUGGUAGAGGAACCCAAGAUCAAAGAAACAAAGACGAAGGGUUCUUGUGCACUUUGUAUUCAAACAUGGAUUUCAAAUCAUUUUUGUUUGUUUGAAUGCUUAAAAAUCUUGAUUUUGAACCAAGCAAGAUGGAGAUAGGUUUUAUUUGUUGUAACUAAUAAGUACAUGUUGUUUUGAUUUUUAUUUCUUUUUUAUCUCUGCUUUUGAAUUUAUUUUCUUAAUUUUUCAUUUAAUAAUAAUAACGACUUUAAUUAGUUUUUUAAACUAAAUAAUAUGUUUUAUUAUUACAUACAAUUUAAUUUGAUAUUAAAAUAAUGGGUAACGAUUAAAUAAGCUAUUACAACAUAAAAAGUAAUGGAAUGGAAUAUGUGAAUGAUUAGCUGAAGACGUCUACAGAGUGGUCGAAUUUACAACGUCGCAAUUAAGAAAAUUAAGGCCAAAUGUUGAAAAUGAUUCUUUGUUCAAGUCUCAGAGACACCACUUAAGAGGAUACUUAUCUACUUACCCUAAUGUUGAAAAUGAGUGAAUUACAUUUUAUGUAAUUAUGUUUCCAGCUUCCCACUCGAUUUUGUUCCCAAAAUGGUAAGCAUAUUGAAUCAACAAUUUGGCCACUCUCACCCUUGAAAAUCAAAGGACAAUUCCUUGCGAAUCUUUUUUUAAAAUACUUUCAUAAUUAGGACUAAGUUACCUAGAUCAUUAUAUUGAAAUAGAAACAUAACUAGUAAACAGAGUUAUAUCAACGUGGCGCAAUCUUAUGCAAAUUCAUUGCAUAGAAUACACACACUUGCAUGUCACCUACACAACACGGGAUCAUUGUGUUUAUAUCUGAUACAAAGUGGGUCGUCGCACCUAUAGUGUUACCAAGCUAUGGGACUCAACCUUAUCUUUAUACUAUAGACUCUUUAAUUUGUAUCUUGAACAUUUAUCUUUGUAUGUCUCUACAUACAACUCAAGUCUCAUGAAGCAAUUGAGGAUGUGUUAGUUUAUUGAAUUUAUGUUAAUGAGACAACUAAUAAGAUAAUCAAUAACAUGCAGUUAUUGAAAUUAUAAUAACAACACUUUAUAAUUAACUGUAAAUGAAUUACAUUUAACUUCUAUAAGUUUUAGAACAUAAGACCCAAUAAUAUUAUAAUAAAUUAUAAAAUGAAAUAGUUUCAAAGUAUUAACAUAUAUAACUUCACUAAAAUAAUUUUAAUGUGUUGAAAUCACCGAACAAUAUAAGUCUCAUGGACUGAUAGAAACAUAUCAUUGCAUACUAUUGAUAAAACCUAAAAUUUUAGUGUAUGUAAUCAAAUUCGUCAUUUUCUUUACAAUUCCCUUUUUUUUCUAAUUUUUAAUUAAAAUAUUUUAAAUAAUAUCUUACUUCAUUUCACAACCAAUUUUUUAUAUAUAUUUUUAAUUAAAGCUUAUUAAAUAUAAUUUUGCAAGUAAAUUAUUAUUAUUAUUUAAGAAAACAACAAGAGUGGAUUAUGUCAUUGUAUUAAAAACCCAUUUUAAUUAAAAAAAGAAGGAAAUAAGAAGUAUUAAAAAUAAUAGUAAAAUUUUGUAGUCCCGUGAGCACAGGGAACGUUUGUUUGAUUGGGAACGUGGAAAACGUUACUUUGUCUUCUUCUUCUUCUCUUUAUAUUUCACAUUUAUUUCCAAAAACAUCUCCACCACUGUUGACGUAUUCUCUAAUCUAAUUUUGUUUUUGUUUCUGAAGUCUUGAAUCUUGAAUCUUGAAUCUUGAACCCAACACCCCACCAACCCCCCCUUCCCCCCAUACAUCACGUGCACAUCACCCACUUGCUGCUUCUCUUUGUUAUUCUAAAAACCUACUUUCAUGUUUUCUACUUUUUCUUACAGACAAACACAACCUUGGAUUACUUAGAAGAAUAUAUGGCUGUUUUAAAACAAAAAACAAAUAUUGUCAUUCUUCAUCAUUGUAUUUCAAAUUUUAAAAAUUGUUUGAAAUAAUGAUCUUACAAUAUUUAACAUAUACAACAUGUAAUUAGAUAAGGAAGCAACAACUGACCAUUUGUGACUCACACCAAGCGCAAGAAGCACCUCGAAGUUUGUAGGGUCAAUGUCUAGUGCCCGCUUCAUUGCAGCAGUAGCAUCCAUAUAUCAGUUUAUAUAAAAUUUAUUAAGUUCCUAUUUGAAUUUCUAUUUCUAGACAUUUAUUAAGGAACCUGUUAUCCAUUGUCAAGGACAGUAGCAGUAGUAGCAAAUGGGCAUUCAGCUCUAUCCAGUUGGAAUAAUUUGCAGGAGAAAAAACACAAAAAAUUCUAUAAUAAAAGCUUAGUAAAUACUGUUAAGCUAUAAGAUGCUUCCAAUUCACCAGCGUUCUUAGUUGCAAUCAAAGCUGAUAAGAUAUCAGUAAUUUUAAGUGUCUACAUCAUUUUGAACUAUGACCACUGAUUAGCAUCACACAAAGCUGAUAAGAUAUUAGUACCUAUACAAAUGCACAAUAUCACUUAUAUAUACAAUAGCAAAGGAUCAUGAACAAGACACUUGCCUUUAUUACAACUAUUAGCAAAAGUCCCAAUGCGUAUCGGACCAACAAAUGGUAGUAUCGACGUUCCAAAAUAUCAAGAACCGGAAAAGCCAUCCAAAGCAAACAAAAGGAAGAAUAUUGUCUACAAGGAAAUGAAGAGGUGGGAAGAACGCUUGAUUAAAACCUACAGUCAAAAUCAAGAAUUAUUAGGUAUUAUAAGAAAUAUCAUAAAACACAUCUCAGAGUAAAAAAUAUCAACCUACAGCUCCAUGAAAUCAAGAAUUCACCUAAAAUUUCUUUUUACAAACAAAAUAAAGAGAAACGUUUUCAAAUGAAAUCUUUAAAGAAAGAACUAUGUGAAAACCAAUACUACAUUUCAAAUGAAAGGAUGAAAGUCGUUCGCACCCGAAGAUUUUACAGAACAAUUUCUCAAAUUAAUUUGGAAAUCUAAAAAAUACCAAUAUAUUGAGAAAAUAAAACAGAAACAAAUUUCUAUUCUAAAUUAAGCAUGCUUCGAAACUAACACAAAGAAUUACAAAGGAAGAAGACUUACAUCGUCGAUGACUCUGAAUCUACCAAAACACUAAUUAUUUACGACCCAUGUAACAAAUCGAUAAAUUAUUUACGAUCCAUGUAACAAAAUGAAAAGGUCCAUAAAACUGACCGUUUUUUAAAAAUUCCAGGUUUACUCUUCAUUAUUAUCGUCUUUCUUCCCUUCUCUUGUGCAAUAUUUUCUUUUUCUCCUCUGUGAUUUUUUUAUUUCCAUCCUCCUUUUCUCUUCUCCAAUUUUCUUUUCUUUCCAUUGUCUUUUUCUUUUCUAUGCAUAUUUUUAAAUAUUUCUGUUUAGCCUUCCUUUCCAUAUUCUUUCUUCUGAAAUUUUUCUUUUCCUUCACACCAUCUUUUUUCGCAAUUUUUUUAAAAUUUUAUUCAAAUAGUUAUUAUUUGGUUGUUUAAAAUCGUGUGUCAGAUAUAAAAGAUUGUAAAAAAAAAUAGUUGGGAUAUUAGAUUGCUGGAUAUAAAAGAUUGUAAAAAAAAAAUGGUUGGGAUAUUAGAUUGACAGAUAUAAACGAUCGUAUACCAAAAAUAGCCAAAUUUAAACGAUCAUUUUCCAAUUAAUAUAAACGAUCGUGUAUCAAACCUAAACGAUCAUAUACCAAAAUAUUUUAUAAAAAAAUUGUUGAGAUUUGACUAUCUAACUUUAAACGAUCAAAUAUGGACGAUUGUGUGUCAAAUAUAAACGAUUAUGUAGCAAAAUUUUUUGAAAAAAAUCAUUGAGAUUUAGAUACCCAAAUUUAAAGGAUCAAAUCUAAACAAUGUCAAAUGUAAAUGAUUAAAUAUAAAUGAUCGUGUAUAAAAGAAUAGCUAAAUCUAAAUGAUAGUUUUCCAAGUCUAAACAAUAAUCAUUUUUCAAAUAUAUUACGCAUGCGUUUUCCAAAUAUAUUAGGUAGUGGAUGUCAAUUAAUUGCAUAACAUUUUUUGUAUUUUUCAUUGUGGGUCUAUGUGCUUUUCCAUUUUCGAAAUUGUUCUAUACGGUGUAAAUAUUUUGUUGAUUUGUUAUAUUUUUUAAAGACCCCUAAAUCAUAUUUAAUUACGAUUUCAUUUAAAUCGUAUUUAAAUGAAUAUCUCUCACAUAAUCUAUAGUUUUAGUUUAAUUAAUUUAAUUAAAUCAAAAAUCAAAUUAAACUAAACUAUGAUCAACUUCUAUAAUGCAUUUUCAUGAAGAAGAAUAUAAACAUUUGAAGCAUGCAAACACUAUUUUUAUUUUCCAUCUUCCAUUUUUUAUUUUCAAAUCUACAAUCUGAAAUCUCAAACGCUUGGAGUGAAGGAACAAAAAUUUCACUCCAAAGAACAAAGAUACAAAAGUUGCAACUUCUUUGUCUCUUAGGGGAAAUUUUAGCUGAUUUUUUUUAAAAUUAUUUAAUUAAUAAAAUGUAGGUGGAAUUUGAGAGGUUUUAUCUAAAAACACAAUAUAUUAGAAUAUUUUGUUGAAAAAAAAUUCAAAUUUAAAAAAUAAAUUAAGAUCUUCCUACGAAAACUAAUUUUAAUUUCAAGUUAAAAUUUUAAAUUUUAAAAAUAAAUUAAGAACUAAUACGAAAAUUAAUUUUAAUUUCCAAAGUAUUAAGGAUUGAAAGAUUAAGCUAAUUCAGGUUAUUUUGAAAUAAAAAAUGUUAAGAUUUAGCCAACAAAAAAUAAUAAUAUGGUUUAAUUUGAAAUAAAAUAAAUGAAUAAAGUUGUUAAAACUUCAACGAAAUAAAAAAAAAAGUUGUCAAAAAUCUUCAACAAAAUUGUUAAAUAGUGAGAUAUUAAGAAGAGGUUAUGAGGUUGCAUACAUUAUUAACACGUCGAAAUUAAUUACAAACUAAUUAAUUAAAUUGGAGGGAGUUUUUAUAAGAACACAUAUAUUGAAAUAAUUAUAGUUCGCGAAUGUGAGUAUAAGCAUCCAUUUAUAGAUGUCAAACUAAUAUUGAUAAAAAUUAUACUUUAAUUAAUGUUAUUCAAUCAAAUGAACAUGGUUUGGUUUAAAAGUCAUCCUAGCUCUACUUUUAGAAUAAGUUAAUUUGAAUUUAAUAAAAAAAUAGUUGAGAAACAAAUAAGUAGAGUUAUCACUUAAAAAAAGGCAUGAAAAAAGAAAAUUGAUAAAAUAAAUAGUAAUUUGUUUAUUUUAAAAUAGAAUUAAUGUCAUUUUGAAAUAAAAUGACUGGUUGAGAUUUUUCCAAAUUCAAAAUAAUAAUUUGGUUAUCUUCAUAUUCAAUCAAUUAAUGUUAUUUUGAUAUAAAAUCUAGCUUUGAGAUUCAUCAAUUUUGAAAAAUAAUAAUUUUGUUAUUUUGAAAUUAGUAAGAUUGAAUAAAGUUGUAAAAAUGUUGAGUCCCGAAAUAUUAGAAAGAAAUUAUGAUAUGGGCUGUUAUAUCUUUUACAUGUCGAAAAUAACUAAAGGUCCAUAAAUGCAUAACACAUAUUAAUUACAACGUAGAGACAAAAUAAUUACAGUUAAAAAAUGUGGGUAUUUAAUUGGUAUUUUAUAAAAUACCAUGCAUGUGUGAAAAAUACAUUUUACAAAAAAUAAAAAAAAAAUGCGAUUUUGCCAUUUUUCAAAAUGACGUCUAAAAAUCAUGUUAUAUCUCUUAAUAUUUCUGGGGUAACAAGAAAAAUAGCAAAAUAAGAGGUUUACUUGGAAUAAAUGAUAAUUUUUUGUUUAAAUUGACAAAAUAACAAAACAAAAAAUUCUAGUAUUGCUGAAGCAAUGUCUUAAAUGUCCUUAGUUAAGUGAAAAAACUUGAAUACUGAUACAUUUAUUCAAUAAACAACAAAUAUCAUACAAUUAAAUGAAACUCCCCACACACAAUUAAAUUCUAUAAAAAAUUAAUUUUCUCUCAAAACUCGAGAAAUAACACCUAUCGCCAUCGAAACUACACAUUUUAGUAUAAAAGAAGUGCAUUCGUAUAUGAGCUUUCUAUAUUGAUUAAUUUUGUGUACUUAUAUGCAACUCUGGGUUCAUCUCUCACAGCCAAGUGAACAGAUUCACCAGUGAUUUGUUCUUCUUUUCAUAAACACAAUCACAUCAAUUAACAAGCUUUGGGCUUUAGGCCCUUAUAAAUCCAGCCUUGGGACAAUAUGUUGCAACAUAAUUAAAAAUAAAAAAUUAUUAAAAUUUUACUUUAAUCCUUUUUUUACUUUUGUGUUCAGUUCUAUUUUGGUUUCGAAAUUUUUUGAAUUGUAUGUUUUGGUCUAUGGAAUUUUAAGAAAUACCUAUUUAGUUCCUAUUGUUAAGAUAUUGUUAAAUAUUCUUUAACGAAAUGAUAAGGUAGUUCAAAGAUCAAAAUAGAACAAGAUAUAUAGUUUAGAAACCAAAAUAAGAUUUUAACCAAAAAAAAAAAAGUAAAACGAUAAAGUAAAGUAAAAUAAAAUUGAAAAAAAGAGAAAUUGUAAGUGUCGAUCACCCUCUCAAUAGCAAGUAUAUACAUAGGUGUGCUUUGCAGUUCUCUAUGUUUAGUGUACUUUUUAGAACUAUCGGUUCAAAAAACUUGAAAAAAAUUUGUUGAGAUUUAGCUACCCAAAUAUAAACGAUCGUGUACAAAAAAAUUUGAAAAAAAAUUGUUGAGAUUUAGCUACAUAAAUAUAAAUGAUUGAGUACAAAAAAAUCUUGAAAAAAAUCAUUUAGAUUUGGAUACCCAAAUUUAAAUGAUUGAAUCUAAAUGAUCGUGUACCAAAAACAGUCAAAUGUAAAUGAUCAUAUACUAAAGAAUCUUGAAAAGAAUUGUUUAGAUUUGACUAUAAAAUCUAAACGAUUGUGUAGGAAAGAAUAACCAAAUCUAAAUGAAAUAUAUUACACGUUGGAUGUCAAUUAAUCACAGAGCAUUUUUUUUUGUAUUUUCAAUUGUGGGUUUGUAAGUUUUUUUCGUUUUUUAAAUUGUUCUAUAAUAUGUAAAUAUGUUGCUGCUUUGUUAUAUUUCUUAAAAGACCACAUAUUUAAUAUAUAUAAAGAAAUAAUCCAUUUAAAAAUAAAAAUAUGAAUUUAAAAUGAAAAUGGAAGAUUGGAGAUUGCAAUAUUUAAUAUUAAUAUAUAUAUAUAUGUAAAGAAAAAAGAAAAAGCAUAAAAAAGUUUAAUAAGAAAAAUAUUUUUCGGAUUGAAAUUUAGAUACUGAGAUAUAAUAUAUAUAUAUAUAUAUUAUUUACUGUUUAAGACUGAAUUUUCGUUUAUUGAUGACUUAAAUAACUUAAUAUUAAUCAUGAGCUAACUACGAACUCUCGUUCACACACGAAAUUAUAUUAUAUGGUUAUUUGUCGUCCUUGUCACAAUCAUCAUCAUCAUUUUGCUUUGUUAUUUAUUCUACAAUUAUUUGAAAACUAAAUUUAAGUUAGCACAAGUUUAAUAUUUAGUUUCUAAAAUUUUGAUUAAGCAAAUAUCAAAAAUUUCAAUUUUAGUUUUAAUACCACUUGAAAAUGUCUAAUAUAUAUAAACUUUCAAUUAAGCAUCCAAAAAUAUGUUAAAGUAUAAAAAUAGUUAAGAAUUAGUAAUUGUAUAUAUUAGACAAAAUUAUUUGUGUUUCUAAAUAAAAACGUGAAGGUUACAUUUUUAUAGCCAAUAGUUAUAUUAUUUAAAAUCAACGUUGGGUACAACAUAUUAGAUGCACAACACAAAUAUCGUGAUAUACUAUAAAUCUUUAAACCUUAUGAACUAUAUAUGACAUAAAUUGAGAUGUUAAUGAGUUAAAAUUUUAACCAUAUAUAAAGUUGUGCUCCUAACGUAAAAUCUUGGGUCUGUCACUAUAUGUCAAAUUUGUUUCUUUUGACGAUAUUAUAUGAUUUAAAUAUUAUAUUAAAGUAUUUUAUAUGAACUUAUAUUAAGGGUAAAGCCACACGGAGACGAGAGAGUAAAUGAAAACCUUUGUAACGUACGUUUUAAAGUUUUUGCCUUUUAUAAUUUUUCAAAUAUGACAAAAUUCUCACUUUUUAAAAUACUCUUCAUAUUAAAUGUGUUAUUAUUCUCAAACUACCAUUCAAUAACUUAUUUCUUCUAUUCUUUUUAAUGCCUCAAUAAUCUCUUUUUUUCUUCUUUCACAUAUAUUUUAAGGCCCUAAUCGAGGUUCUUAUACGAAAAACGAUUUAUUCUUCAUGUUUUAAUCUUGGUUUUAGGAUAUCAAUGAUACAUUAAUUGCAAUAUGAAAUAUAAUGAUCAUUGAUCGAAGUAAUUUAACUUUGUUAAUAAUUUUUCUCUACUUUCUUUGAUGUGUAUAUUGAGUUGAAUCUGAUUUCAAGUUAUUUUGUUUUUUUUUUUUUACGUUGAUGUUAUUUUGGUUUUACUUUGUAUCAAUUAUGUAUAUAAGUGUUGUAAUGUAUUUAUAUUAUAUGUAUUAGUUGGUUGAUAUACUUUCUACAUGAUUUUCAUUUUUUAAAAUUUUAUACAGUUCAUUAUAGUAUUAUUAAGUAUAUGAAUGAUAUAAUUCAGUGUAUCAUUAUCAAGUAUAUCAAUAAUAUAUUGUUAAAGUAUAUCAACAUAUCAGUAGAGUAAAUCAUUAUCAAGUAUAUCAAUCAAGUUUACAAGUAUAUAUCAAUAUAUAACGUAUCAAGUGUAUAAGUAGGACUUCAAGCAUAUCAAGUGUAUUUAAUCAAUCAAGUGUAUUAGUGAAGAAUACUAAGUGUACAUAUUUGCAGACAUAUAUAUGAUCACGUGCAUCAAGCGCAUCAAAUUUGUUGAGUAUACCAAUGAAGCAUAUAACAAGUUUAUUAUCAGUGCAUCAAGUGUAUCAAACUUAUAUGUGAAGCCUUUAAGUGUAUCAAGGCCUAUAGGGUAUCACUGAUUUUGUGUGCUAUAGACGUAAUUAUUAUAACUUGUUUUGUAUUUUUUCGCAAGUGUUCCAAAUUAAUUCUAGUUGUUAAAACGAGUACACGAUGACAUGAAAUGUUAGCACAUAAUAUAUAUUGAUAUAUAUAUAGAUAUGUAGAGAAAUAAUAAUAAUAAUAAUAAUUAGAAAGUAGAAAAAUCCAAGAAUGGAGUGAAUAUGAAAUGAUGGAAAAAGAUAAAGUGAAAUAUAUAUUGUGAAAGUGAUUUUGAAUAUGAGAUGGAUUUCCACCAUUGUCUGCUCCCACAUGCACAUGAGAGCCUACCAUAUACUAUAUUUGUUUUAGUCAACUUUUCUUUCAUUCACACAUUUCUAUUUUACAAAAUAUUCCCCUCCAAUCUUUAUCUCUACACACACACUUCCUCAUUUUUGUUUAGUUUCUAUUGCAUUUUAAUUUCAAAAGCUUAAUAUUUAACUUUUAAAUUUUAGGUUUCAUUUACUAUCAUAUAUAGAUUUCAAAUAUUAAACUAAAAGGGAAGAAUUAUAAUGAGUUAGUUCUUCCCUAAUUUCAAUUUCAAUUUCAUAAUAAUUUUAACAAAGUUGAAACAAAACUUUUUCAAUUUCAAUUUCAUAAUAAUUUUAACAAAGUUGAAACAAAACUUAAAUUUCAAGAAUCAAAUUGUACAUUUUGAAACCUAUGGACUCACAUAAAAUCAAACUCAACACUUAAUAAUUAAAUGCAUAACACUUUGAAACUUAAAGAUCAAAUGAAAUAGAAACGAUCGUGUACUAAUAUCUAAAUGAUAUUGGUUCAAGAUUGUGUACGAGAAUCAUUUAGAUUUGGUACAAGAUCGUGUACCAAGAUCAUUUAGAUUUUGUGCAUAAUCGUUUAGAUUUGAUACAAGACCACAUACCAAAAUCUGAACGAUCGUGUAUCAAUAUUUGAACGAUCAUGUACCAAACUUUUUGUAUGUGCGUGUGAUCGAUUAAUAGUGGGGUAUUUUUGUUAUUUCACAUUGUGGACUUUUGGAUUUUCUCCAUUUUCAAAAUGAUUCUAUACGGUAUAAAUAUUUUUGCAUUUUAUUCUAUUUUUUUAAAAGAAACCCUUUAUUUAAAAAUAAAUAAUUUAUUUGAUUUAUCUUUGGUAUUAGAGACAACUUUUUUAUUUGAUAUUAUUUCACUUGUGAUUUAAAUAAACGAUGGUCGAACUUAUAUCUAUAAUCUAUUAAUUAAUUUAUUUCAAUGUAAACAUUACAUUAUAUAAUCCUACAUGGAAUCAAUAAAGAAGUCAAAUGUGAAUGACAAAUGUUUGUGUUUCUAAACCCCUGUUAGAUGGUAUAGAUUAUUCUUGUGAAACAUAUUGAAUGUGAUAGAUUAAUCAUCAAAUGACACACACACAUAGUUGAUUAGUUAGCUUUUUUUUAGUAUAAUAAUUGCCUCCUUUGACCAUGAAUUCAAAAUAUGUACUACAAAUGUUCAUUUGUUCAUGACGUUGCUGAAAUUAAGUUGACAUGAUCUCACAAAUUAGCAUCUAAAUAUUCAUUUGUUAACUUUUUUUUCUUUGCUUUUUAAAAAAGUAUCUAAUUUAUUCUCUCUCCUUGUCAUAUACUCUUUGUUUUUCAAAGAAUAAUGCAUUUUUUUUAUUGAUUAUUGAGAUAUAUUACAAAUUUUUUAGGUAAAAGAAUAAUAUCUUAUAUAUAUCAUGUUUUCAUACAUUAAGGAAUGCUAUUAAAACACAUGAGUUUAGAGUCUUUGUUGACGAAAUUGAUUUGAUAUUUAUUCAUUUUAUAUUUUUGUCAUUAAUUUAUAUUUUUGUCAUUAAUUUAGUUAACGCUUUAUAAUAGAUGGUAUAGAUGAUUUUCAAUCAAACGAAUAGAUCUAAUGAAUAAAGAAAAAAAAUCAGAUCGAAACAAAAGCAGGAAAAAACAUCAUGGACAGGAGGAAAGGGGAGGGGUUUGAUCUCUAUACUCUUUCACGCUAUAGCUCAAGCAUUAUAGUAUGUGUGACAAGCACCAUAUCAACGUGUAGAUUUUCUCUUUUGCAGGUCAUGUUCUUUUUUCAUUCAAAUAAAUUCUCUGCUAAACAUGAAUGUCAAAUAUGUCUUCCCUUAUCUAAAUUUUAGCAUCAACACAUUUGACAUUGUAUGCAGGGAGAACAAAGUCUUUCCUAGAAAUCUUCAUGUCUUACAAAAUAUAAGUAAGAGAUACAAUAAUAAAAACGUGAAGCGAACUGACUCAAACCAUGACUGCCACAUGUGAAGAACUCAAAGACAGAGAUCACCUCGAUGCAAAAAAUGUAGGAGCACUGGAAAAACAAGUGAAUGGAAUAUGUCGUGAUCUAACUUUGAUUAGUUGAAAUAAUUCUAAACAAGCAGAACUCUCUCAUGUAAGGUUUAAAUGGAACUCUCAGUUGUAAAACCCAAAAUUAAUAAAUUUUAAAUUUAAUUAUUUUAAUUUUAUUUUUUGAUUGAGUUAUUAUUGGGUGUUAUUUUUUUUGUUUUGUUUGAAUUUGAAGUUUAAUUGGUUUUAGAGAAAUUGAAAUUAAUUAAGUAUAUAUGUGUAUAUUUAAUUAAAAAUUUGGAAUUUGGGUGGAAUUGAAAUUAAUUAUUUAUUUAUAUAUAUAUAUGUGUGUGUAUGUAUGUAUUUAUAUAUAAUUAAUGGUAAAAAAAUAAUUAUAUGUUGGAUUAUAAUUAUUAUUGUUGGAAAUUAAAGAUAAUAGUUGAUGAAAAGAGAGAGGGUCGAUGUGAUUGGUAGAGAAGAAAUAAAGAAAAUUUAACUAGGAAAGAAAAAGAAGAUAGAAAUAUGUAUAUGUAUGUAUUUAUAUAUUAUAAGUUAAUUUUUAGGGUAAUUGUAAUUGAUGGACAUUUUAGAUCUAAUAAUUAAGGAUAUAGCAACAUUUUUAAAAAAUUGUAAAUAUAGCAAAACUAUCUUUGAUAGACUCGUAUGGUCUAUCAGUGAUAGACUUCUAUCAUUGAUAGAAUUUGACAAAUUUUGCUAUAUCUGCAAAUUUUUUAAAAUGUUGCUAUAUACUUAUAUACUUAAUUAUUUUGAAUAUAAUUGUUAAAUGUGCAACUAUCAUUAAUUUUUAUAAAUAUAACAUAACACCAAAAUAUUUACAGCCUGUGUAAUAAAAUAAAAAAGUCUAUGAAGCUGACCAUUUUUUUUUUAAUAGUCUAAGUUUGUCCUUCCUUUCCAUCUUCUUUUUCUCUUCUUCUGCAAUUUUUCUUUUCUUUUUCAUCGUCUCUUUUAUCUUUUUCUGUAAUUUUUCUUUUAAUUUUUUUUGAAAUCAUGAUCUUGUUUUCAAUUAAUCAUAAAUGUUGUAUUUUUUAGAGUGUUUUUGGUUCAAGAUCAUGUACUAAAUAUAGAAGAUCUUGAAGAAAAAAAAUCAUUGAGACGAUAUUAGUACACAAUCUAGAUAAAUCUAAAUAAUCGUGUACACAAUACUUUGGAAAUUAGUUUAAUGUAUAGUGAUACAUUAUAAUAUAAAGUUUAUCAAACUUUAUUAUAUAAAUUUAAUUUUGGAUAUGAUUCAAAAUUAACUUAUGAGAGAUAAAAUAUUUGAAUGAGUUCAAAUAUUAAUUUAAUGUGAAUUGGAUUCAUAGUAAAAUUAUUUGUUAGGAGAAACCGAUAUUUGAAUAUGAUUCAAAUUUAAUUUAAAUUCAAUAUAAGAUAUUUAAUUUAGCUAUUAAUUAAUUAAAGAAUCAAUUAAUAUUUUAGUUUUAUUUAAUUAAAUCUAUAAGAUAUUGCACUGAUAUUCAUUCAAAUAAGAUUUGAAUGAGAUAUUAAUUAAUUAAAUCUCAUGAUUCUCUUCUACUCUUUUUCCUAUUCCAAAAAGGAAAGAGAGUUAUAAAUAUCUAGAAUAGAACAAUUUUCUUUAACGAAUUUAUCCAUAAAAGAAAGCUAAGGUUUUUGCUCUGCAAAAAGAAAAUAGUUUCUCUCAACUACCUCUAAACUUUUUUCCAUCCCAGCUGGUUUCCACAAACCAAUCUCAUCCUAGAUGAUUUGAAGUUUUUAUACGGGUGGUGUUCCCAAUUCGGUAGUUUGUAGAUUCAGAGACGUCAACGAAUGUAAGUUCUUUGUAUCUUUUAAAUAAAAAUCAUGCUUAGUUUUUAUUUAGAAUUUUGAUUCUAAGUUUUGCCAAUGUACUAGUAUUUUGGGAUUUCCAAAUUAAAUUGAGCAAUGGUUCUGUAAAAUCUUCCGCUGCCAUAGGACUUUUAUCCCUUCAGUGGAGACGUGAUCGUCGAGAUAUUCUAGGUGAGAUUCUUUGUGAAGCAAUGCGCAAAACAUCUAGUAAGCGGAAAUAAAGACAACCAUAAAAAUUUAAUGCAGAAUGUGGACUUAGAUGAAAUGUGGAAACUUCAUUGAUAUUUCAAACAAUAAGGUACAUUCAGUACUUUGUACAAUAUUCCUUACAAAACUGCUAAACACAACUUAAAACAAUUUUUGGACUCUCCUCGCCUUAGCUACUACAUGCUAUCCGAGUUGACAGUGGCCAUGACCAAAAUGAUGUGUUCUCAAAAGGCACAGUAGGCGAUCAAGGCUGCAAGUUUAACGUUGGAUAUCAUUCGCUACCUAGGGGGAUAAAACAAAACAUUUGAAAGGUUAAACGAAAAUGUCUAGUGAGUGAGACGAUCUUUGAUCAACACCUUCAAACUAAUCCAAGUUCACCUUAACGCAAUAUAGACAUUUUGUGAAAACAAGUAAUAUAAGUAAUAUGUAAGUCAAUCAUUAAAUCUUUUAGUUUAAAAAAAACAUUGAGGGCAUUAGGCACUUUUCAACACCUCAAUUUUAUCAACAAAAUUCAUAUCGUAGUAGCACGCAUUCCACCUACAACAUGGUCAUCUCGUAGGAUCAUUAUGCAUGUUUAAUUAUAUCUUUGUACCAUUUUUUUAGCUCAAGCGUUUGCCACUCUUUUGCCAAGUUGCAAUUAUGUAGAGUAAUUAACCUCAAUGCAUUUAGCGAGUUCCAUCAAUUCUCCCACACAUAAUGCGUCUUUCCAUGCCAUAUCACUCAUCAAGCAAGGGGGAUCCCAUCACAUAGGGUAAAAAAGAUUAUCUCAAUUCAUCAUUACAAGUUUAUAUCAAAUCUUAGGCAUUUCUAAAUAACACAUCAUCCUAGUCAUGUGUAAGUUCAAUUCAUUUAUAUAUCAUACACAUUUUAAGCUUUGGAAAGUAUUAGAGAAAUCAUGUCGUUUAUAGUUUCAGUAGGAAUAUAAUAAGGAAUUAAACACAUUUUAGAAAUCCUUUUGGUUUCUUAAAACAUUUAGCAAGAAGAAUCACUCAUAGUCACAAUAGCUAGUUGCUACCCACGAGCUCCUUUGCACUUUUCAGUUAUCGAACUUCGUAGGUUUUGGAUUUGGACCAUCAACCAAACCAAAAAAUUUAUAUGCAAUUAAGAUUGAUUGAAGUUGGAGUUUCCUUAGUACCUAGUUUGUUGAAUCAAGGUGAAUUCAAAUAUGGUUGCAAAUAUUGGAGAGGAGGAAGAUUGAAGAGGAGAGUUCUCUAGAUGGAUCCGUCGUGGAUUUUGGGUGAAAGUCAAUAGUGGUGGAAGCUUUAUGAGAGAAAUAUUUUCUAUAUCUUAUAGAGAAGAAAUUUAUGGACUAUUUACAAGAAUAAACCAACUCACAACAACUCAAUUCAAACAAAACCAUUCUAAAACUAAAUAAUAAAGUUUUCUUUAAUUUCAAGAAUAAUUAUUCUGUUGACAAUAUUGAUGUUAUUAGUAUUUAUAGUAUCUAUGUUGAUAGAAUUUGAAUUAUUUUUACAACAAACACUUUUACUUCAAAAAUAGGUAUUUUCAAAUAUAAUAGAUUUACCAAUAUAGCAAAUCUUACGAAACUCUUACACUAUUUAUUGAAGUUCUUUUACUAUAUAUGAAAAUAGUUUUAAUUCUUUUUUGGUAACUUGGAGUUGCUUUGAUUUUUUUUUUAAUUAGAAAUGGCAACUUUCAACAAGUUCAAAUCCCCAUGUAAUAAACGAUAAUAACAAUCAACAAUAAUUUUAAGAAUAAUAAUUAAAUGUAUAACUUAAACAAUUGCAAAUAUAACAAAGUUGAUAGUGGAUAGACUAAUAUUUACAAUAUAUAUAGUCUAUCAAUGAUAGACUUCUAUUUAUGAUAAGUUUUGACAGAUUUUACUAUUUUAUAAUAUUUUUUAAAAUAUCGUUACACAGGUUAAUAGUAAUAUUUUAGAAUAGUUUAGAGGCAGAAACCAAUUUAAUUUCCUUACAUUUACUAUAGUGUUUCAAUUUCAAUAUUUAAUAAUGUCAAUUUAACAACCAACCGAAAUAGUAAAAUUAGUGAUUGAUGUCGGGAUUAGUGAACUAAUUGAUCCAUAAAGAUUUGAAAAAAGAAGAAACAUUAUCAAAAUAAAGUACAAAAUAAAAUCAAAAUUCUUUUAUUGUGCAUUAAAUUAUUGAGACACUUACAACUUCACAUGCACACAAUGACAUAAACACUUAAAAAAAUCUUGAAAAAAAAGAAGAAAACAAAAAAAAAAAAAAAGAAGGAAAAUCUUGUGAUAAGAAAAAAAAAGAAAAGAAAUGAUACUCUUAUAAAGUUGAUGGGGUUGGAAUUUGGAAUUAGUGCUUAUAAUGAAACCAAAGGCUUCAAAACCCCUUCUUAAAAGAAAUGAAUGAAACUAAUGGGGACAAAACUUUAGCAUUUUUAAACAAAAGUCAAGACACUAUAUAUAUAUAUGUAUGUAUAUAUAUAACCCUUUCUUUUCAAGAAACUUUGCCAUAAAUCAUCGUCCCUCUAACUGAUAAAUGAGUAAGAUUAAAAAUACCAUUUUAAUUAAUUAUUCUACUUUAAAUUUCAUUAUAUUUGAAUUAUAGUUUCAAUUCUUCAAUUUUUAAUUCUAGUACUUUUGAAUUAAUCUUAAAAAUAGUGGAUAUGGAUGGUUUAUACUAUUGACUUUUAUAAAAACAUAGUCUAAUAGCAUUUCACAUAUGAUGAAAAUCAUUAUUAUCAUCAUCAUCAUUGUUAUUAAUAUUAUUAGGAUUGUGACAUCCACUAACUAGAGCUAAUAAAUCCAAAGUUAAUAUAACGAGUUAGUAAGUUUAUGUUUGGAGUAGAGAGUUGUAAGAUAAAAUACUUUGAUAAAAUGUGAAACAAAGAUAAAGUGAAAAAAAGAGAAAGCUAUUCAAUAAAUGUGAAAAGCAUAAAUAACGUAAAAGAUAAAAUUAUUAGAUUAGAAAAAAUGAGAUGAAGUGAAAAUUACUCGAGAAGUAUAAAAAAAAAGUUGAUAUGUCAAAUGAACUAAUUAAAUAAAUACAUAUAUUUAAUUAAAGAAAGGUAGAAAGAGAAAAUCAAGUUAUAGGUAUUUAAUUAAGAUUGACAAAAUCUCUUUCUUAAGAUUGUGUGAAAGUUAUUAUCAUUCAUAAUUAAACGUAAAAAAAGGUUAAUUCAUACGUAAGAGAGCACCAUGCAAUUUUUUAUUACACAUUAAUGAAUCUACUACACAUAGUUGGUUGCAUGUGUUACAAUAUGCAUUCAAGAUUACCAAUUUUAAUAUAUAUAGAUUUAUAAUAUUAUGAUAGAUAAUUUUGAGUACCACGUCAUACAAUUGAUUAAAGUAGAAGAGAUCUAAUUUAGAUUCUACCAUUGUUUUGUUAACCAAUACAAAUGCAACAUAUCAAAAGGCUUAUUGAUUACAUCACCAUUUUGCAAAAACUAAGAUAUAAUAAUGAUUAACGAAUACUUUGUUGUGGUUGGAUAGAUACAAUGAUAAGGUUUGUUGGGUUAAAUUAUAACUUUUAAUAAAAUUUUAUUUUCUUCCACAUCUUCUCAUUUUCAAUUAUGGAUUUACAUUCUUCUUUUAAUUAUGGUGAUAGAAAAUAAAAGAUUUGACUUCGACAUUUAGUGCAUGUCAAUUAGCCUACUCGAAUAUAGGAUCAAAAUAGAUGUAUUAAAAUUUAAAACCCGUGUGAUAUUCUUUUAUAUAUCUUUUUAUAAUAAGCAUUUAUUUCAUCGUAAAAGAUAUUUUUUAAAAAUCAUUUUAAUCAAAUUUUACACACCAAUUACUAAAUCAAUGUACAUGUGUACAAUGUUGUAAAAGGAUGUUGUAUAUAUUUUCCAUCUUUUACAUAUGAAUGAUGAUUCAAAUUUUCAAAAUUUAUGUGUAAGAAAUUGUAUAAGUUGAAAUAAAAGAACCCCCAAAGUUGAAGACUCUUUUUUUUUUGGUAUAUGAUUUAAUCAUAUUUUGAUCAAAUGCAAUUAUUCAAACAAAGUAUAAGAAUGUCUAUACAAUAUUCAAAAUUCAAAUCCCAAUAUGGAUGAAUAUAAUAUUAAACAUAUAAAGAACAUGAAUUUUUUUAAAAAGAAUAAAAGAAAAAAAAAAAAAAAAGUGUCCCUCUUCUUAUAUAUUCACACACAAUUUAAUUCAAUUGUUAUUUGCUUCUUUUCUUUUUCUUCGAGCUUUUUCCUUCUCUUUCUUUGGUAGCCUUGGCCUAUUCUUCAACAAAGAAAUGGUAGAGGUUAUGAUUUUGUUCCCAUGGAUGAUAUGAUGGAGUUCCUUUCAUAAUUAUUAUUCAAAAUAAUAAUAAUAAACUAAAAGUACUCUUCAAAAACAAAUAAAAAAGAACCCUAACACUAUACACAAUAGUGGUUUUGUUUAGUAAAUUUUGGUGACUACUUUUGAGCCCCACCUUAAUGAGUAUGCUUUUUUUCUUUUUCUUUUGUGCCCUUCUUACUUAAUCCCUUCUUCGAUGCUUCUCUCAUAAUUUCUCUUACUUCUUAUAUGGUUUUCAAAAUUUUGGUUUCCAUUUCGAGUAUAUUCUCUUCUCUUCCCACCUCUGCUUGAUCUUAUCAUCUUAAAAAUUUCUAUAAGAAUAAUUUGAUCUUUAUUAUGAUUUAACUAUCACUUGAUUCGAUAAAGAUUUUGAUGAGAACAUAAAAUCAUAAUAAUCUUCAAUAAUAUUUAAUAAGUAUUGACCUUCAUGACUAUAUAUACACUAAAAGAAUUGAUACUUACAAUGAUAUAAAAUUUUGAUACUGAUAGAAAGGAAAUAAAAAAUACCGUAGCUUUAAAAGUUCUUCAAAAUGAGGAAUCAUUGAAUAUGAGAAAAGAUUUUUUAAGUGGUAUGGUAAAAUUUUCUGUACAAUUCUCUCUUCACAUCUUCUAUCAUCACAAAUUUUGACUUAAAACAUCAAAGUAACUUUAUCAAAAAAAUACACUUUAGUAUUUGUUAAAAUUCUCAAAUGUUCUUUUUGUUUUACCACCGUACAAUCAAUAAAUUUUUAUCCUCGCAUCUACCAUCACCAUUUCUUUUUAUUUAUGGUGACUUUCCGAGUGCUUUACGAUUUGAUAAGACCCGACAAAUAAUAUCUAUUGUUUCAUAAAAUCUUCAUAAGGCUAAAUAGACUAUUUAUGAGAAUUUUCUUAAACUAUAAGGACCAAAAUUUACAAUUUAACCAUUCAGAAACUAAUGUCAUAUUUGAUCUUUGAUAUUGUUUUCCAAAAUUAGAAUGACUCAACUAAUAUACAAUUUAUGUUUACAAAACAAAAAUAAUGAUUCCAUCAACAUCUAGAAAAAUAGUUAGAAACAAGCACAAAAAACAAGAUACACACAAGGAAAAGUAUAGAACAUGAAGAGCAACAUAUUCACAAAUUUAAAAGGGAAACCCCAUAUAAAUGAUACACAUGUUGCUCAAGACUUGAAAACAAAAAGAAAUGAAAAGGUAAUCAAAGAUGCCCUUCACCAAAACUCAUAUUGUGGAGUCCCAAGGGCAUGCAUUGGCAAUGACCAUUCCUAUUGCUUUGCUAUUGCUAUUGCCAUUGCUAUUACCAAGAAAAGCAAAAGGGUGACCACAAUUUUUUCUUUUGGGAGUGUUCAUAAAUGGUUCUUUAGAUGAUCACAGUGAGAGAGACACCCUAGAAAGACAGUGACCCUUCAAAAUAGAAGGCCCACAACUUGCAUCUGCAUGAAAGAUAAGGACUUGUCAUAAGGGCACUCUUGCCUAAGCGCCCCCUCUCUGAAAAUCACAAACAAGUGGGGAUUUACAUCUAAAUGCCCCCUCCCUUCUAACCCUCAUUUCUAGGGCAAUCAUCUCACUCAUUAUUGUGUAUUUUGUAUUACUCAAUAUCUACUUAAAUUUUUACCCAAUUAUCACUUAUUUUUCGUACCUUGUAAGGUUCGAUACUUCUUACCGUUUCUAUUGGCAUUUAUGACAAGACUCAACAAGAGAUAGGUAGGUGACCUGACCUUGAGACCUUAAGGAGGUAGGUGUUUAGCCCCACCAACACAUACGAAGUUUGAGUAUUUUAAAUAACUCAACUUCAAUAGUAAACUCUAUUUGAGUUUGCACAUUUAUCAAGAAACGCUAUUUUACAACACUACACUUUAAAUACAAACUUCCUAACUUCACAUAUUAAUUAGAGUUUAUAACUCAUCAACUCAACUCAAUGUCCAGAACACUCUCUACUAAGUGAUAAUCAAUAUAAAUUAAAGAAUGACAUCAUAAGAGUUUGAACACGAGAUGCUAGAAUAUGGUAUAUUUAAACUAUGAGCUGAAUUAUAUUCUCAUCAUUUAUUUUGGAAACAGCUCUACUUUAUUUUAAAGAAAAGAAAUGUCGCUUAACUUUAAUGAUCAAUUAAAUUUGAUAAAAUGAAGGGGGAAACACCUCUGCAUUAAAAGGAGAUAAAAGGGUACAACAAUAUGGAUCCCAAAAUAUAAUUUUAAAAUUGUAGAUGGCAAUAAAGAAAAAGAAAAAAAAAAAAACACUGUUUUCUAUGCAAGAGGGAGAAGGGAAGGAGGGGAUGAGGAUGCAGUAGAUUUUUCUCUGGCUUUUUUUUUUUAAGAGGAAGAUCAAAAGCAGAUUUCAUCUGCUCUGCUUUUGCUUUACAGCUCUCCCUUUAAGACUAUUCCAUCUUCUAAUAAAGCUUUCAAAUCCCACAUUCUUUUACAUGGAUAAUUGGUCCACUAUUGUAGGGCAACUAGGAAGAAGGAAUAAAGUUGAAGAAAUCAUUUGGAAUUAGAAAUAUAAGCUAAGAGAAAUUUCCCACAAUUAAAAAAAACAUAUAAUAAUAAGACCUCCCACUGACCUACUGGCUCCUUCUUCUUCUUCCUCUGCUGCAGCCUGCAUCUCUCCCAUCAUUAUAGAUUGAUCAUUCAACACCAUUGUAAUGAUAUAUUAAUAAUCAUCAUCUUCUUUGCCACCCACAAGUUACCAACUCAUUAUUAGUUUUGUUCUGGUAAAUAUUACUUCUACAAAAGUGGAUAACUUUUACCAUAUGAUCAAUAAAUACCAUCCCCCAAAAAAACAAAAAAAAACAAAAGAAAAAAGGGAUCAUGAACGUGGUUUUGAAUGAUCUUCCUUGUGGCAUUUCUUUUUCUUGGCUUCUAAGAAUAUAUUCCUUGUAGUCAGAAUUUAAAGAGGUAAAGGAUUAGGAAAGAAACAUCAUUUGGUAUAAUUGGAUUCUUGGGUUAAAAAAAUGUGUCAUGUUCCACUCUAUUGAGAUUCACCCAUUUCAAAGAGAAAUUAUUGGAUGAAACCAACAAAAUGAUGGUUGUCUGGUUAAGAUUCUGUCCUCGUCGCGGGAAGGGAAAAACAUCAUGUGGGAGUGGCAUUAUAGAUGAGUUUGAGUUAAGGGCUAUAAUGUACAGAAGCCAGUACUGUCCUGAAUUUCCUGGUUAGUUUUCAGGUUGACAGGCUGAUUUGGAGGAGUGAAAGAAAAGAUAAAAAAAGAAGAGACAAAACUAAACAUAUAAGAGUUAUUUACCAAAAGCUUGAGUACUGAACUAUUUUUAUUGAUGGAAAGUGCAAAUCCUUCAGUUCAUAUCUCUCUCAUUCAAAGCAAUAAAGAGCAUCCUUUAAUUAAAGCUAAAGGGUAUUGUUGUCAUAUGAAUAAAGAAAGGAAACAAAGCAUCACCUUUGCUUUUUUAUUAUAUGUGUAUAUAUAUAUUUUCCUUUUUUUCUUUCUUUUGUUUCUUUUCCUUUUUCCCUCCCCACUUCCCCAUUUGAUCUUUCUAUUAUCCAACGGCCAUCUUUUAAUUUACAUUUUGCUAGCUACAUAUCUUUCUACAGAACCAUCUUCUAUCUUUCCUUUUCUUCAUCCUUUUUUCCUCUUAGCUUUGCUAAAAGAAACUUGAUAUAGAGGAAUUCAGAAAGCAAAGGAACCAUUUUUGUAGCAGAAUUUCAAACCUUGCGUCUCUGUUCUAAAAGGAAAGAAAAGCAAAUAAAAGAGGAGAAAGAAAAGGAGGAGCUUUGUUUUUCUUACUUGUAUUUGAAGACUUGUUUACUAUGAACAUGUUUGAUUCCUUAAGCCCAAACACACUUGAAGAAGUUCAACAUAUUAUUCUUCCACUGUCUUUUCCUCUUCACUUUCCUGCAAAAUAUAUAAUUGCAAAGCUGCUUAAAACCUUUGGUCUUUCCUUCCUCUGCUUCCAAAUUCAAUUCCCUUGAUACAAUUUUGGGAAAGAAAAAACAAACAUGUUUUUCCUUGUUUUUACAUUCUUCUCUCUUCUAGGCUUCUCUUCUUCCCACAGUUUGGUCAGUGAUUUCCAUGUUUUGCUUGCUCUCAAACAAGGGUUUGAAUUCUCUGACUCUUCUACACUAAGCACUUGGACAGCCUCAAACUUCAGCUCAGUUUGUUCAUGGGUCGGGAUUCAGUGUUCUCACGGACGAGUUGUUUCAGUCAACUUGACAGAUUUGAGUCUUGGUGGCUUUGUUUCACCGUUGAUUUCAAAUCUUGACCAACUUACUGAGUUGUCCGUCGCAGGAAAUAACUUUUCUGGUGGCAUUGAAGUCAUGAAUUUGCGUUACCUUCGAUUCCUUAACAUCUCAAACAACCAGUUCACUGGGACUCUGGACUGGAACUUUUCGAGUCUGCCGAACUUGGAGGUGUUGGAUGCCUAUAACAACAACUUCACUGCUCUACUCCCCACUGAGAUUUUGAAUUUACAGAACCUCAAAUACUUAGACCUUGGAGGUAACUUUUUUCAUGGAAAAAUCCCUGAAAGCUAUGGCAGUUUAGAAGGGUUGCAAUAUCUUUUUCUUGCAGGAAAUGAUUUGGUUGGGAAAAUCCCAGGAGCGUUGGGAAAUCUCACAAAUUUGAGAGAAAUUUACUUGGGCCAUUACAAUGUUUUUGAAGGGGGACUUCCACCCGAACUUGGGAAAUUGGCCAAUUUGGUUCUCAUGGACAUUGCAGACUGUGGUUUGGACGGUCAAAUUCCUCAUGAACUUGGGAAUUUGAAGGCCUUGGAGACUCUAUAUAUGCAUACAAACCUAUUCUCAGGUUCGAUUCCUAAGCAGUUAGGCAAUCUGACAAACUUGGUCAAUUUGGAUCUCUCCAACAAUGCACUCACGGGAGAAAUCCCAUCUGAGUUUGUUGAGCUCAAACAGCUCAACCUUUACAAGCUCUUCAUGAACAAACUUCAUGGAUCUAUCCCAGACUACAUAGCAGAUUUGCCAAACUUGGAGACGUUGGAACUGUGGAUGAACAACUUCACCAGCACAAUCCCUAAGAAUCUUGGCCAAAAUGGGAGGCUUCAGCUCCUUGAUUUGUCAACAAACAAGCUCACAGGUACAAUACCUGAGGGCUUGUGUUCAUCAAACCAGCUGAGAAUAUUGAUUCUGAUGAACAACUUCCUGUUUGGGCCAAUCCCUGAUGGUUUGGGGACAUGUACCAGUCUUACAAAAGUGAGGUUAGGGCAAAACUAUCUGAACGGAAGCAUUCCCAAUGGCUUCAUUUACUUGCCUCAGCUAAAUUUAGCAGAGUUUCAGGACAAUUACCUUUCUGGAACACUUUCAGAAAACUGGGAGAGUUCAUCAAUACCCAUCAAAUUAGGGCAACUUAAUCUCUCUAACAAUCUUCUCUCAGGAACUUUACCAUCUUCACUUUCUAAUUUGUCUUCUCUGCAAAUUCUCCUCCUCAAUGGCAACCAGUUUUCUGGUACAAUUCCUCCUUCCAUUGGAGAACUCAAUCAACUUCUAAAGCUUGAUCUUAGCAGAAACUCGCUUUCAGGUGAAAUUCCACCUGAAAUUGGGAAUUGUAUUCAUCUCACUUACCUUGAUUUGAGCAGAAACAACCUCUCUGGCCCAAUUCCUCCUGAAAUUUCCAAUGCACAUAUUCUCAAUUACCUCAACUUGUCAAGAAAUCACCUAAAUCAAUCCCUACCAAAAUCAUUAGGAGCAAUGAAGAGCCUGACGAUUGCUGAUUUCUCCUUCAACGAUUUCUCCGGAAAGCUACCGGAAUCCGGACUUGCGUUCUUCAAUGCUUCAUCCUUCGCCGGAAAUCCUCAGCUCUGCGGCUCUCUCCUCAACAAUCCCUGCAACUUCGCAACAACAACAACAACAAAGUCGGGAAAAACUCCAACGUAUUUCAAGCUAAUAUUCGCCCUCGGCCUAUUAAUUUGCUCUCUAGUGUUCGCCAUAGCGGCAGUAGUGAAAGCGAAAUCAUUCAAACGAAAUGGAUCAAGUUCAUGGAAAAUGACCUCAUUCCAAAAGCUUGAAUUCACCGUCUUCGACGUCUUGGAGUGCGUGAAAGACGGCAACGUGAUCGGACGAGGCGGCGCCGGCAUCGUCUACCACGGGAAAAUGCCGAACGGAGUUGAAAUCGCAGUGAAGAAACUCCUAGGGUUCGGCCCUAACAGUCACGAUCAUGGAUUCCGAGCCGAAAUCCAAACCCUAGGCAACAUUCGACACCGAAACAUUGUGAGAUUACUCGCAUUCUGCUCCAAUAAAGAGACAAACCUCCUCGUGUAUGAAUACAUGAGGAAUGGAAGCUUAGGCGAAGCACUCCAUGGCAAAAAAGCCUCGUUCCUUGGAUGGAAUUUGAGAUACAAAAUCGCGAUUGAAGCCGCCAAAGGUCUGUGCUACCUCCACCACGAUUGCUCUCCACUAAUCGUUCAUCGAGACGUGAAAUCGAACAACAUCCUCUUGAAUUCAAACUUCGAAGCUCACGUCGCGGAUUUCGGAUUGGCGAAGUUCAUGUUCGACGGCGGCGCGUCGGAAUGCAUGUCGGUGAUCGCCGGAUCUUACGGCUACAUCGCUCCUGGUACGUCGUCUCUUUUCUUUUUUCCUUUUUCCUUUUUCUUCUUCAUUUCUCCUUCCCGAAAUUAAAAUUUAAUUUUGAAUUAAUUUUUAUUUCUCGGAUUUGAGUCGUUACAGUGUUAGUUAAGUUAGUUAAUUGCUAAAAUUUGUUUGGUGGGCCAUUUUGAUUGAAUUAGUCAGUCAAUCCCAGCCGUCCGAUUCUCACUGCCAACAAAAUCCAAGGGCAGUGAUUGAUAGUGACCUUCACCGAUUAUGGAUAUGGAUAGGGAUACAUACAAAUCAAAUAAAACUCAUUUUCCUAUUUAUUCUCUUUUUUCAUCCAAACAUUCUUAUUACAAAUCCUUAGCUAAUAUUUAUAAAUAGUCUUUAAUUAAUUAUAAAAUUUAUACAAGAACUGAAACAAACAUAAGCUUGAAAUUUGAAAAGUUCAGCUUUUAAGAUUAAGAUUCAAAUAAAGUAAAAGAAAUGAGACCUGAAAGAACACAUAGAGGUGGUGGUAAAAAAGAAAAAGAAAAAGAAAAGAAUAUUAUAUAAAUACAGAAUCCGAAUUUUGGGGAGUGCUAAAAAAGAAAAAUCUAUAUUAAAGGGAAGAAUUUUCUAGGAAGACGCACCAAAAAAAUAAAAUUAAAAAGAAGAAAAACUAAGUAGUGAUGGAGGGCCCAGCCGGCAAAUGAUCAGAUCAGAAUCUGACGGCUCUGAUUCUAUCAUCAGCCUGUCAUCUGAUGGACACAAGCUGACGAUAUCAGACUCUCCUUUCAAUCUUCAACCAUUCUCUCUAUCUUCGCCCCACAUUUAUACGAAUUAGCUUUCUUAAUUUCAUUACUAAACUAUAUUAACUCUAAUACAAAAUUAGCUUUCAUGUUUUUUUUAUUAUUAUUAUUUUACAUGAUAAUGGUUGCUUUAAAAAGCUAAUGAUGGACUUAGAUGGUGAUUGACAUUGCUAUCAUGAUAAACUUUUGAUGUUAAUGCAAUCAUGCUAAUAAUUAUCUUUCAUUAUACUAAUUAUACAUAUAUUUCAAGUUCACUUUUUUGUAAAUCUCAAUAACGUAGAUGUUGAUAAUGUUUUUUUUCUCUUUGUAGAAUAUGCAUAUACAUUGAAAGUCGAUGAGAAAAGUGAUGUGUAUAGUUUUGGAGUGGUGCUAUUAGAGCUUUUGACGGGACGUCGACCAGUUGGAGAUUUUGGGGAUGGAGUGGUUGAUAUAGCACAAUGGUGCAAAAGAGCUCUAACAGAUGGCGAGAAUGAAAAUGACAUUAUUUGCGUAGCUGACAAAAGGGUAGGAAUGAUACCAAAAGAGGAAGCAAAACACUUAUUCUUCAUAGCAAUGUUAUGUGUGCAAGAGAACAGUGUGGAAAGACCAACAAUGAGAGAAGUGGUUCAAAUGUUGGCUGAGUUUCCUCACCAAUCUCCCACUUGUUUCCAAUCUUCCUCCUCCUCUUCUCCCUGUCAAAAAUUGAAGACCGACGAAAAGGAAAGAGAACGUCAAUCAAAGUCCAAACCAGAUCAUUUAGUUUAACAAGAAAAGAAAAGAGAGUAACGAUUUCUUUUUCUUUUUAAUUUUUGGUUCAUUCGGGUUUUAUCAAUAUAUAGAUUAAUAUUGGGGCUUAGUUUCAUAUGUUUUUUUCUUUUUCUCUCUUUUAAGCUUUAGAAUAUUGUGUGUUAAAUGGGUUGUUUUGAUAUAUAUGUAAAGGUUUUUUUUUUAAAAGCUAUUGAGUAUGGUUGGCUAAGAAAAUUAGUUAGUGAUAGCUUUUGAGGGAAUUUGUGAGGGAAAAGAGUUAGAAAGAAAGUGGGGAUGGGAGUGAGAGAAAUAAAUUAAAUGAAAAGAUAGCACAUCUUUUAAAGGAAUGGAUGGAGAGGCAAAAUGCAAGCAUCAAUGGAAACUUGCACAUUAGCCCUUGACUUUGUAUCAUAAUUCGAUCCUAGUCAUCAAUAUAUAUAUAUAUAUAUAUAACAUUAUUAAAAAUUAUCAAUCAUGAUUUUAGAUUAUGAUUACAUGUUCUAUUAUUAUCUAUGAUAUGGAUAAUACUAUAUGCUUCUUUUACUCUCUCAUGAUCUAACUCAUUAACACAUGUUAUGUCAUCAUUUCUUUGUUUUCAAUAUAAAAUUAAGUCAACCUUGAGUUAUAAAUGAAUUUUAGUUCUAUAUGUUUCUCUAAUGAAUUCACUUUUGAUUUAUAAAAUAUAUGGAUUGAAAGUAUUAUUGUAUUAAUAAUUGAUAACCUCAUUGUUUAAGAACAAAAAAAUCCAAUACGACCCCUACAUUAGGAAGUACUUUUUGAUAUAUCAAUGAUUAAUUAAUUGUAUUUGUUCUCAUAUGAGACUACCAAGGUUUAGCUUCGGGGUGUUUGAUAUAUCUCUAAAAAAAACUAUUCUAUUUGAUCUAAAAUGAAAUAGUUCUUAUGGAUUUAACGUUUAAACAAUUUGACAAAGUAAUUCAAGCCCAAAAUGGAGCAAGUAGUAACAAAGGGCAUUUGAUUGUGUUAGCAUUAUGGCAAUGUACUUAACUUCUGCUUAAACACUUUGACAGAUAAUUAAUAGAUUAUAAAUGAGACUUUUCAGAUGUUAAGAUAAUAUUGGUUUAAUAUGUUUUAUAAGCUAUAGAUUUUUUCUUCAACUUCACUCCUUUAUUUCAUCUGGUUUAAAUCACCUAACUAGUGAAGGUUAAAUCCAUACAUGUUAGUGAUAUAGAUUAUCCUAUUGACUAAAUCACUGAAGGGCACCCAAAAUCUUAAUGCAAUCAUUGCUCUGUUAGCCUAAUGGAACAAAAGUCUUUAGUUUAAUUAAUUGAUAGGUAGGGAGCUUGUUUGGCUUUAUCAACCAAUUCGAACUAUGUUAAAAUGUCGGUUGAGUUGAACAAAAUUAUGUUCGGUUGUCCUUUAUUACAUUUUGUUGUAUCCAUUAUUUUCUUCACUUCGUUUUUAAUUCACUCAAAAUUCUUCUUGCAUUGAUUUAACUAAAAAAUGACAACAAAACACAUUUUACGCUUUAUAAAUGUAUUUAAUUGGUUGAAUGCCUCUGAUAGCAUUUCAUUUACGUCGAUAAAGAAGGAUAGAUGAAAGUUGUUGAGCUUAAUAAAACCCUUUGUUUUUUGGCAUUAGAAAUGCAAGGUAAUGUCGUUGGAGCGAUGGCUAUAUCUGAUUCCAAAAUAUUAGAUGGUGACAACAUUAAAGUAUUAAUAGAUGUGGUCAUAGAAGGUGAUUGUGCAAUUCUCAUACAACAAAGAAAGAGGCCAACAAUCUAUCAAGGGAAAUAGGUUCACAUAUAUUAUGGUCACGCCAUCUCGUAUUUGUUGUUAAUGAAAAUGUAAUGCAUUUUCCAAUUUUUGAUAUCUACGGGAUAGUGUAUAUUAACGAUAGUGUUAAUAUUUGUGAAAAAAGGAUGCCAGAAAGUUGACUAAAGAUAUGGCUACGAUCGCAAUGACACUGAUUCGAUCAUGGAAUUUAAAGUUCUUCAGUAGCACUACGAUGUUUACUAAGACAACUUGAACAUAUGGGGUCACUAAUCUGAAUUAUUGCACCAUUUGGAGUAUUUGGUGUGCAAAGAAAAUGUUGCAUAUUGAUUGAGGUGUUGCGAGAUUUCUGUUCUGUGCCCCCAAUAUCUACUUCUUGUCUCGAUGCAUACAUGAUGUAGGUGACGCAAUUAAAGCAAUAUUGUUGAGUAAUUACGUUUGAAAUUUACUGAUGCAUUUUUUGUUCUCACUGCACUUGUAGGUAUCUGUACAAAUUAUUGAUAAAAGCAAAACUUUGAGUCUGUACGAGUUUUUGAACGAUGGAAGAUAAUUUGUAGAAAUACAAGUUAUUAUAGCCUUUUAGAUAGAAUAAUGAGACCAAAACGUGUAAUAAGUGUGUCAAAACGUGUAGCUUAUAUUGUAAAUUCAUAAAUACUCAUAAUACACUCUACAUAAGUCUUUAUGCCUGUUUCACCCUGUUUUUAGUGUCUUAACGCAGGAUUAUGAACAAAAGAAGAGACUAGUGAAUCGCAGAUGAACUCGUGCAAAGGCUACGCGAGAAGACCUAGGCGAGAUCCCCAUCAGCAUGUGAGGAAGGUUCACUAGAAGACCAAGAAUGGUAGUUUGGAGUUGAUGUGACAUUAAAAUGAACUAGUCAAUACUGACAUGUUCAUAAGAAUAGAAGUUUUCCAUUGAAAGUUGCCUAUAAAAGGACUUUAUCUUAUCAAGUUGAAGGAGGUUGGCUUCGAGAGAAGUCAAAUGUUUGAAUGAACCGAUCAUAAGUCUUAUCACGUUAUUUAAGCUAUACUCAUCAAUUGGAUAGUGUAUAUCGCCAACUACUCGAGAGAGCAAGUAGCAAGAAUAUGGCUAAUGCGCGCAAGGGGGAGUUUAGAGAUAAACUCCACCUUGACGAGAUAACUUCCAUCAUUUGUGUCCCGAAAGAAGAACAAGUGUUGGUAUCUGGUGUCGAGAGGUUACCACUUUUAAAAGAGAAGUGCUAUAAGUCCUAUAAGUAAACUCUUCUAGAUAUAUCUCACUUUAACCAAACUUAGUCAUUUGCAUCCCCAGAGGUGAGCAAGUGUGGUAUUAAGGCACUGAGAGGUGCUUGCCUUAAUCACAAGCUAGUUAACUAGACUUUAUCUCAUCAAGCUAAGGCUUCCGCAUGACUUAAUCGCCUAGCGUAAUGCGGAGACCUUCCUUCACCUUUUCUUAGCACAAGUUAAUUCAUGUGUCUAUCUCACCUCCACUCUAAUCCCCCUUUUACGUUCUCUAGUGUAGAUAAGUAGAUAUAGUUUAAACUUACACUAUCACACUGUAUAGAUAUUAUUGUAUAUUGCAUGAAUGAAGAGUGAACUCUAUAACUAAGUUUUGAUAUCAAUUUUCUGUGUUGGAUCCUAGACUACCCAAAAAAUCUAUUGUUUCGCUUAUACUUGAGCAAGCAAUUGAAAAACUUGUACUCAACAAGGACUUAGUAAUUACAUGAUGAAGAGAUUCAUAAUAAGCAUCUAGCAUGAGAUGACCAUGAUCAAUGACUCACCUCCUAUAAUUAGAAAAUAGAAAUAGACAAACACUACUUGACACAUUGUGUUUGAAAGUCUGAAACAGAGACACCACCAAUGUAUCUAUCUCAUUGUGAUCUAGUUAUAAGGAAUCAUGUGCACAGUUGUUGAGUUGUAGAUUACGUUGAACAGAUGGACUACUACUAUUUCCUUACAAUUAUGUGUAUAUAUAUUUUACACAAAUAGAGCAUUUGUUAUUUGGUUGCAAUAUUACUCUAACAUGCAUUUUUUUCAAACAUAUAUAUAGAAAUCACUCGAGUUUGGUGGUCGUAUAUUACAUGAAGGGUGUUAUCUUUUAGAUCGAUCAUUUGAAAAAUAGUAUCUACGAAGAUAUAAGAAAGUAGUUGGAAUGUAUGUGAUCCUUACUUUAUAACUAUUUUACCUUCAGAAAUCAAUUUAUAUUGUUUCUUUACAAUUAUGGGUAUAUUUUUCACAAUUAGACCAUUCUUUACAAACAUGCAUUUUUUUUUUCAAACAUAUAAAGUAGUAAUUGAUGGAGUUUGGUGGUUGUAAAUUUCAUGAAGGGUGUUGUCUUUUGGAUUGAUCCUAUGAAAAAUAGUAUCCACAAAAAUAUAUAUAACAAUCACUGAAGAUUUUUUUUAAUGUAUGUGAUCCUUACUUCACUGGACAAUGUCGAAUGUAUGCCACUACUUUCACUAUUUUAUGUUCUCCUUUGUAGGCCAUUCAACAUCUAAAAAAAACCAAUUUGAAAGGUUGUCAAGCUAGGUGAAUAUCGAUGCUAGAACAAUAGCCAAUUACUUCGUACAUUUAACAUAUAUAUGUUUUUUGUAUGUGUACGCACAGUGUCCUAAACAAUUAGGAACGAUAGAAUGUGGUUAUUAUGUCAUGUAUGAAAUAAUUUUGUCAAAGAGUACUUCAAUCCCAAACAUAGUAUAUAUGUGUAUAAAACUUUAAAACUAUUCAUUAACUUAUUAUUAAUGUCACUCAUUUAAAACCAGUAUACAUAUGAAAUGUUCACCUCAUACUUACACACAAGAUGAUACUAACUGUGUAUAAGGUGUUGAGUUUGUAGGCUUGCAUGUAUUUUUUGCUUAACAUCAUAUAGUUAUUACUUUUUUUUUAUCUGUUUUGGUGUAAGUUAUGUUUUAAGGACGAAUGACACAUAUCUACCAAUCAAUUCACAUGGUUUUGGGAGCAAUUAAAAAGCACAGAAGUGAGUUACUAGUUGUUGUAUGACAUUUAUAUUAUAUUUUACACUACAGUGUUAUAUUCUAUAUUAUUGUGAUAUUUAUGUUUUCUCUUGGAAAGACUUGAUCGAUGUUCAAAUAUAAGUACAAGGCAAAAGAACCUUUUUUUAAGGGUCAAGCAACUUGGUGGUGGCAAAUAGGUUUAUGAUCUCUACAUGCUAAUUUUACCAACCCUCACCCAUGGAUAACAAAAUAAAAGAAAAAAAGGAAAAAACAAAGAAAGUUAAUCAAUUUUCUUAGAUACACAAUGUAUUGUUAUAGGUUGUGUUUAUUUGCAUAUGACAUUUAAUUUGAUAUAGUUAUAUUAAUUAUAUGUUUUGAUUGUGUAGAUAGACUUUUAUGAGAUUAAUAUUGUUAUGAUAUGGUAAGCCUAGAUUUGCCGUGGGUAUAGAUUAUUAAGUUAUGUUUUAUAACUAAAACCUCAACUCCAUUUCAUUAGAGGUGUUUAUACUUUUUGGUUUGCAGUUUGACAUUAACUUUUUAGGAAAGAUUGAUGAUUGUGAUAACUUAUUGGUAUAGUAAAGGUAAGCACACUUGUAUUCCUGUUUAUGUGUAGUGUGACCUCUACAUUAACGCUUAUUUUUUCUAUUAGGUUUUGCAUGCAAGAAUACACAGGGGAGUAUUGAAGUCAUGAGAGCAAUGAGAUAUGUUUGUAAGAUUUUUUUUCUACGGGUUAGUGAAUAAACUUCGAACGCAAUGUACAUAUCGAAGUUUACUAUUUGUAAAUUCUUGUAAACCUUUGACCAAAAAUAUAUUUUUGUGCAAAUAGUUAUAAAGUGUAUGAUACCUAUAUAUAUACUGAACUUUUUACAGUUUCAUGUUUCCAUAUGGGUAUGUAUAGUUAGAAGUAUUAUGUAAUUGAAAUGGUAUGUGUAAUGACAAAGCUACAAAAAAAUAACAACCUUCUAUGAAUUUAUUUUCUUGACGAUAAAUGUUCUAAUAUAGGAUUCUAUAACAUUUGAUGUGAAAAAAGAAGUGUCAAGGUUGGGAUACUUUUGACAUGCAAUGAUAGCCAUGCUAACCAUAUCCUUGACAGGAAAAACAUGUAAUCGUGUAAAAUUUUGUGAUAUUUUAUAAGAGUUACUGAUAUGCAAAAAGACACAAACAAGUACUUGAAUCUAUGCCAAUGGAUGAUAUUAAUUAACUGUUGUAAUAUAUUAAAAAAUGACAAUUAAUAGUUGCCAAUACCAAUUAAUUUGUGACAUUUAUAGAUAAUCGUACGUUAUAGGCAAUACAAUACUGUAAAAAAACUGUCAAUAAUUUUAAAUCAAACAAAUUUUAAAUCUCAUGGUAGCCCAUUUUUCUUACAGUGGAAUGAUGCUAGCAAGCGUAUUUGAAGAAAUUGUUGGGUUUAUGGUAAGAGUGGUCAUACUGUUGCAAUGUGCAAGCACAAGAAGAAACAAAAUUUCGACAAUCAAGCCAAAAGUUAAUGAAAAAUGAAGGUUCGGUUGUUGUCAUUUCUGAGGUAAAUUUGGCUUUAGACACCAAAAGUUAAUGAAUUGAUACUGAUGCCUACUAGGCACAUUUGUAAGGACAAGUCAUUGUUCAUUACAUAUGAGAAGCUAGAUGAUAGUGAUAAGUUGUACAUGAAAAAUGCUUCAAUAGCCUCUGUGGAAGGCAAAGAGAAGAUCAUACUAAAAUGGACUUUUGAAAAUGAUACUUAUCCUCAAUAAUGUGUGGCAUGUUAAAAGAAUCUAGUGUUAAGAACUCUACUUAAUUAAAAAUGGGUUCAAGCUUAUAUUUGUAUCAGAUAAAUUUAUUCUAACAGACGGAGUAUGUAUGUGAGAAAAAACUAUCUAAGUAAUGACAUGUUCAAACUAAAUGUACUGCCACAAAUGCCAAAUAAUGAUAAUAUCAACUCUUUUGCUUAUAUGUGGAGUUCUGUGAUGUUUGACAUUCUAGAUUGGGACAAGUCAAUUAUAUUGUUGUUCUUUACAUAGACUGGUAUGAUUAGAACUAUUGUCUAAUUUUAAUAUUGAUAACAGACACAAAUGUGAAGUUUGUGUUGGAUUAAAGUUUACAAAGAAAAGCAUUUUGAUUUGAGAAAAGAAGUAAUGAGUUACUUGAUUGAUUUAAUUGAUGAUUAUAGUAAAUAUUGCUAAUUAUAUUUAUUACACAGUAAGAAUGAAACAUUUAAUGUUUUUAAAACAUAUAAGGCAUAUAAGUUGAAAAUAAAAGUGCUUAGAUAAGAUAGAUUUGGUGAAUAUGAACCAUCAUCAGUAUGGGAAUUUUGUGAAGUUAAUGGUAUAAUCUAUCAAACUACAACACCUUAUGUAUAAUAUAAUAAAGCAGUGUAGCUGAAAGUAAGAAUUGAACUUUAAAGGACGUGGUUAAUUGCAUGUUAGUUAUUUCAGGUUUAUUUCACAAUUUGUGGGGUAAGCUUUGCUUACAGCAAAUUUUAUACUAAAUAGGAUUUCACUUAAUUAGAAGACUAAUAAGUCAUCUUAUGAAGUGUGGAAUGGAAAGUUGUCCUCAUAUAAAAUGUUGAAAGUCGGAGGGUGUUUAGCAAAGGGUAUACAAAGUUCCUUUACAAAAAAUUAUCAAACAUGGACCUAGCUAAGACAAUUGAUUGUGUCUUUAUAGGCUAUGGAAUGCAUAGUAGGUGGCUAUAGACUUAUGGUGAUUAAAUCAAAAAUAUCUAAUAUUAAUAAUGAUACCAUUAUGAAAUCUAUUGAAACUAAAUUCUUUGAUGAUACAUGCAUUUUCUUCAAACAAGAAAGGACACAAGAUUAUUAAGGCCAAAAGAACUAAUGAGGCUAGCUCUUUGGAAGGCCAAGAUGAUCAGAAAACUGAGUCUGAUUCAAGAAGAAGAAGAAGAACUAAGAAAGCAAAACUUUCUUGGACUUAGUUCCAUAACUAAUAUGAUAGAAGGUGAGUCUCAAAACUUUUCAAGCAGUUUCAUCAUCUCUUGAUGCACCUUAUUGGAAGGAAACUAUGAAUAGUGAGCUAGAAUCCAUUUUACAUAAUCCAUUUAUUUAUUUAUUAUUAUUUUAAAUAUCCAAACUAGAUUUAAAUUAUUGCUAUUAUUAUUAUAUAUUGCAUAAGUAUUGAACUAAUGGAACUUUUGUUCUCUAGCUUGAUUGGACAAAUAAUGUGUGUAGUUUAGUUUGGUGCGAGUUGGAAAUUGAAAACCAUCACUAUUCAUCUUAUUUUUGUUCCAUUUUGGAAAAAUUGAAUGAAGAAGGAUCGUUAAGAAAAAUAACAAAGUAUGAGUUUCACUUUGAAAAAAUAGCAAAAAAGAUUUUAAAUUGUUAGGAGCAAAACAUAAAAAUUAGAAAAAUAAAUAAAUAGAAUAAUCCCUCAAAUGUCUAAUUCUAAUAUAAAAAAUAUAAUUGUUCACCUAAUCCAAAAUACACUGUAAUUGAAAUAAUAUAUGCUACAUAAAAAUUCCCUAAAAAAUAUAAAGAUUAGAAAAGUUGUCAUUAAUGGAAAGUUUCAUCGGUUCAUCUUCCUCUUCUCCUUAUUGGCAAUUUCGCAGAAUUUUGAUUCAAUUUUCAAAAACACGAAAGAGAGUCGCUGUUCAAUCAGCUCCGAGAAGAAAUCAUAAAAUCCAACGAAAUUUCAUUGGGUCAAAACCUCUCAAACUUCUCAGAUUAAACAACACAGUGACGAUAUUCGACAAGAAUCAUCCACUUCUUCUUCAAAUCAUCCAAGAAUUUGUCACGACGUUUAAGAGAAACAAGUGGGGACACAAUAAACUUCUUCUUCAAUUCUUCUCUCACUGUUUGUCUCUUGUUGGUUGUCCCUCUCUCUCAAUCUUCUUUUUUUUUUCCUUUUAUCUAAUAAAACCUAAAAGAAAAAUAUUCAAAUAAUUGCAAAAAUGUAAUUGACAUAUAAUUAAAUUUUAAAUUUUAAAAUCAAUUUUUUAUUAAAAAUAUAUAUUAAAAUUUAAAUUCAAAUUGAAUUUCUUUAAUAAAUGGUUUAAAAUAUAACAAAUUUGAAAAUCCGGUAUAUAUUUGCGAUUAUUGUAGGAGAAGUUGUUGCAAUCUUGUCUAGCAACAAAAUAAUAAAUUUAGUACCAAAUUUGAACGUUAUUUUCAAUUAGGAUCUUUAAAUAAACCAUCCUAUGAAAGUUUUAAUUUUAAUUUAUUAUUAUGUUAAAUGAACCAUUUUAUGGAUAAUCGUUAAAUGGAUAAUUAUAAGGGGAAAUACAAUCUUACAUGCAUAAUUACAAGGAGGAUACAAGGUUAAUAUGAGGUUGUUAUAAUUAUAUCAAAGGCAUGCCUUUAGAGAAUGAUGCAAUUUUAAAUUCAAAUUUUGGAGAUCAUACCACUAAACUUUUAAAAUAAAAUGAUAAAAUAAAUAUAUUUAUUACAAUAUAUUUAUAUAAUUCGAAAAAAAUAAAGGAUAAAUAUGAAAAAUUGUUUAGUACUUAUAUGAUAUAAUAAAAUGUUACUUUAAACUCUUUCAAAAUUAUGGUGAAUCAGUUUCUAGACAACCCCGUCAGACAUACAAAGUUAUUGGAUUCUCGUGAAACUCAAUAGAAUUAGAUACACGUUUUUAUUUCAUUGUAAUAUUAAGAUUUAUUUUAUAUGUUUAUUUCUUUCUCACUUAAUCAAAUGUAGAUGGAGAUGUGUUGUUUAGACACUCGACGCACAUCACAUCACAUGAUAAAUAUUGUGCGCCUAGUAAAUGGGAGUAAACACAUACAUAAUUGUAAAACGUGAAAUUGAUAUAAAUGGAACAUAAAACAUAGUUAAUAAUGGCUAUAGCCACCUAUUUUUAUCCUACACAUAUAUAUAUUUUUUAAAUACUAAUAUUCGUAAUAAUUAUUAAAUUAUUUAUUUAUUUACUUAAAAGAAAGGUAAAAAAAUUAAUAAUAACAUAAUAUCUUAUAAUAUUUCAUUUUUAUCCAAACAAAAAUAAAUCAAUUUGUUUUUUAAAAAUCUUUUAAUAUUAUAUUUGUACUAUUUUAAGAAAAAGAAAUGAAUUUGUUUUAAAUAAAAUCUUAUAAUAUCAAAUUUGACUUACUUAAAUCAUUUUAGGAAAAAAGAAAAUCAAUUUUAAAUUAUUAUUAUUAUAUAUAUGGGUGGCGGCAAGGUUUAAAAAAAACACUUCAUUUUCUUUUCCUUUAAUCUUUUUAUAUUUAUUAUUAUUUAUAUAUUUAUUUGUUGCAGUUGUCUACCAUUUGUAUUUUUCUUUUUUAUAUUUAUUUUUUAAACUUGCUUUUCUUGCAUGCAUAAUAAUUAUUAUCACGUAAUAUUAAAUUUAUGAAUAUUUUUUACACUUUGCAAUGUUACCAUUGUAUUUCAUAUCAAUUAUUUAAUUUUUUUUCUCCUUACCUCAUAUUUAAUUUUACAUUUUUUCAUUCUAAAAACAAAUCCGACGAUGGAAUUAGAAAUAUUGGAGUCCGUUAUUUCUAAAUUCUUGAGGUGAGGAAAUCGAUUUUUGGAAAUCCAAGAUUCGAUUUCCAAUAUUUUUUAAAAUACGUCCUCAGAAGAGAAGAGCUAGUUUUAAAAUAAAUUUAAAAAUAUUUUCAAUUCAAGAUUUUAAAUUUGGCCACCGUUUUUCUAAAUGGGUGGUGUUGUGGGGUGCUAAUAUCUUCCUCACACACAAAUGACUCUCGAACUCAAUUCUAUUUUUCGCAUACCAUUUUUUAAAAUUUGUUUAGUUUAUUUCGGUGUCCAAUCACACUGUAAAAAAGAUUGGUGGUGACUCCUAUUUUAUUUUAAAACUAGCUCUUUUGAGGACUUCCAAAGAUGUGAUCCCUCACCUUAAGAAUUCUAGGAAAUCAAACUCUCAAAUUUCCUAGAUUUCAUCAUAAGAAUAUUUUUAAGAAGUGAGUUAUUAAAAAAGUUGAUUAAGAAAAACAUAUGAAAUAUAUAUUUAUAUUUUAAACCCUUCUUUAAAAAAAUUAAAAGAAAUAAUUGUAAAGUACAAAUUUCUAUACAGUUAAAAAAGAAAAUUUAAGAAAGAUCUUCAAAAUUAGGUCAAUAGGAAAUAAUGCACAAUGAAAUCAAAUAUAAUAUACCCUAAAUUAAGCAAGUAAGAGAAUAUUUUACUUUUUGAAAAAAUAUUGGAAAUCGAAUCUUGGAUUCCCAAAGAACCAAUUUCCUCACCUCAAGAAUUUAGAAAUAACGAACUCCAAUAUUUCUAAUUUCAUCGUCGGGUUUGUUUUUAGAAAAAAAAUUAAAUAACUGAUAUGAAAUACAAUGGUAAUAUUGCAAAGGGUAAAAAAUAUUCAUAAAUUUAAUAUUACAUGAUAAUAAUUAUUAUGCAUGCAAGAAAAGCAAGUUAAAAAAAUAAAUAUAAAAAAGAAAAAUACAAAUGGUAGACAACUACAACAAAUAAAUAUAUAAAUAAUAAAAAAAAAAAAAGGAAGUUUUUUUUUUUAACCUUGCCGCCACCCAUAUAUAUAAUAAUAAUAAUGAUGAUAAAAAUAAUAAUAAAAAUAAUAAUACACAAAAAUAUUAACCGUAAAAGAAAAGAAAAAAAUAGAUUUUCAAAUCUCAAAUAAAAUUUACUCGUAGAUGAGGUGCGGAUCCUUGGGAGUAAAUCCCUACCACAUGAACUUCGAACAAAGUAUAUUUUAAAAUGGAAUUUGAUUUGCUAAGGAGAAACAAAAACAAAAACAAAAAAAGUAAAACACUAACGUAAUGAAAUAAAUAAGAAAACUCACCUUUUUAAGAGAUUCUCUCUAAAAAAAUUUCUAACGUUUUUUCUAUAGACUUUUUGUAAGAAAAUUUUCUCCAAAGAAAUCUUUGUUCAAAAAACUCUUCUCAAAGAAUUUUUUUGUUUAAGAAACUCACUUCUUUUUUUUUUUCAAAUGACAAGGGUCCCUAUUUAUAGACCCGGAGUGUACCACAAAUUAGGAAAAAGUAAUAAGAAUAAAAUCAAAAUUUGAUAUUAUAUUAAUAAAACAAAUUUCAAUUUCCUAAAAUAAAUUAAAUGAGAUAUUUUGAUAUUUUGUGAAAAAUAAAUUAAUACAUCAAAUGAAUAUUAAAAUACUUUUAUUUAAAAUUGAUUUUUUUUCCUAAAAUGAUUUAAGUAAGUCAAAAUAUAUUAUAAGAUUCUAUUUAAAACAAAUUCAUUUCUUUUUUCCUAAAAUAGUACAAAUAUAAUAUUAAAAAAAAUUUAAAAUCAAAUUGAUUUACUUUUGUUUCCUAGAAUGAUAAAAAUGAAAUAUUAUAAGAUAUUAUGUUAUUAUUAAUUUUUUUACCUUUUUUUAAAGUAAAUAAAUAAAUAAUUUAACAAUUAUUACUAAUAUUAGUAUUUAAAAAAAUAUAUAUGUAGCAUAAAAAUAGGUGGCUACAAUGGCAAAUCAUGAUAAUACACUUGACUCUCAAUACUCAAGUUUUUCAAUAAUACUCGGUACAUACUCCAAAAUCGGCAACUUGAUUCUUCUCGCCUAGCUCUACAUGCUAUGCAAUGUAAUAGUGGUCACUAUCGAUGAUGCGAUUACAAGGGCACAAUAGGCGAUCAAGGCUGCAAGUCCAACGCUUGAUGUCAUUCACUACCCGUGGGAUAAAACAAAAUAUUGAAAGGUUAGAAAAAAAAUGUCUAGUGAGCGGAAUCUUUCUCAAACUUUUUAAUUCAUCAAAGUGGGUCUUUAACGCAUUUCAUUCAUUUUAUCAGAUAAUACAUGAUAGUAUUAAUAAGGCACUAAGUUAGAAACACCAUCAAUCUAUGGGAUUUUCAUUGACUCAAACAAGCGUUUUAAUAUAACAUAAAUGUAACACCCCAAAAUUUCAUGUAUUUAUUUUUAACCUAAUUAUCUUAUUUUAUUAAGAUUCUAAAUUUUGGGGUGUUAUUUUACUAUAGUUUGGUGUGGAAGAGAAAUAAUUGUUUGAAAAAGAAAAGAAAAGAGAAAGAAAUAAUAAUUAUAAUAUGUUAUUAUUACUAUUUUGAUUAAAAAUCCUUCUCAUUUCACGUGCCCUUAUUCUUAUUCACCUUCUUCCUUCUUCUUCUUCCUCGUGUGUUUCAGUCGGCUGACCCUCUGCUUUCUUUCUUCUUCUUUCUGAUCAACUGCUCCCCCACCCACUACCGUCUUCGUUAGUCGAGUCACUUCCGUCCGUUUAAGCCAUAGCCUCCACGAAGCCGAUUGUCCCGUUUGAGUCGUACAACCCAUUGAAGCAUCGCCCUAUCUUCAUCAGCUGCGUCGCGGGCAAGCUCAGUCGAAGCCAUCGGUUCAUCCAACCGUUCGCGUAGGGUUUCUCUCUCGGUUUGUCAAUUGCCCGGUUGCCUCCAUCUUUCAAGCCGCACACGUCUCUGUCUCUUCCAGUCCUGCCUGCAAGUCGACGCUCACCUCUCCUAACCAGUCGCUCAGAUCUGUUUUGCAUGCCAUUUCGACUCAAUUCAUACGGCGCUACCGUUUCUUCCUUGUUGUGAACCAUUGGGUUUAUUUUUGGUAAGAAUGAAAUUGUGGGUUUUGUUGUUUAAUGGCUAUUCAUAAAUGUUACUGUUGGAUUAACCAUUUGGUGAAACACUUAAUUCUUGAAGGUACUAUUUGAAGUCAGCUAGCGAAUCCUUAAAUUUUCAAUAGGUUUGGGGUUGGAGUUUGAUUCUUCAUCUAUUUGGGUAAGUUGUCAAAUUCACAUUUGGGUGAAUUAGAUGGAUGAAGUUAUUUGGGAAAAUGCUUGACUUUCUGUUUACUUAUGUUUAGGUUGCUUUAUUGGACUAAUUUAGUAUGAUAAAGGAGCUUAAUUAUAGUGAAGUUACGAGGUUUGUACUACUAAACUCUAUGUCGAAGUUGAAAUAUAUUGACUGAAAAAGACUUGACUGUUAUAUUAAAUAGAAUGUAUUGAUAGUUUACGGUUGGUUGAAUUGUCUGAAUUGAGGUGGGCGAUGCUUAUGCAUAAGUUUGAUUAUGUUGACGAAUUGUUAUGCUAAUGAUUGAUUAUGUACUAGUAUGGAUAAUUUUGAUUGUCUAUGUGUUGGACUGAAAUGAUGACGGUAGGUUGGACUAUAUUUUGAGUUGACUGUUUGAAUUGUUAGAAUGGACUAAGGAAAAUUUGUUAAUUUUAUCAAUGGGGUAGUGUACCUUGUAGGUGUCCUUUGGGAUCACCAUCUAUUUUGCAUCCUUCGGGAGCACUAGACUGACUAUGUAUAUCCCAAUAGUGGGUCUCUUACUAGAUAUAUUUUAUACUCACUCUUCAUGUUUGAUUUUUUCAGGGAAAGGUAAUACAAGAGGUAGACUGACGAGAGACAAGGACAUGUGAUCGCCCUAAAGAGAAUUAUGUCAAAAAUGCUUCCGUUUAUUGUUUUAUUGUUUUUAAGUUUUUUUUUAAAAUUAAAAUGAGUUUAUGGUUAGUGACUUUAUAAAUAGUACUUUUGAAAUUUUAUUUUGUUUGAAAUAGGGCCCAAAUAAAAUUUAUUUGAUGUUUAUGCGAGAUUUUAUGACUUUUUAUGUUAAACGAAGUGUUUUUAUGUGAAAGUAAGGAUCUCAGCUUAGAUAGAAAAGUUGGAUCGUUACGGUAUAAGAAAAUUUCCCUUUUUAAAUCCUUUAUCAAAACUUUGGAAAGAAAUCAUUUCUUCUUGAUUCUUUCAUCGUUAUUCAAAUUGCAACAUACAUACGCGUUUCGCAUAAUCAUUUUACAAAUUUACUUACAUAUAUCUUUGUACCAUUUUCUCAACUCAAGCGUUUACCACACUCUUUUGUCAAGUUGCAGCUAUGUGGAGUAACAUCAAUACAUUUAGCAAGAUCCAGCAAUUCCACUAUGCAUAAUGUGUUUUCCAAUACUUGAUCACACAGCAAGUAAUGAGCAUCACAUACCAGAUAACACAUCAAGUAUGAGACAUCCUACCCAAGAUCACAUAGCAUGAAUAAGACAUUCUAUUCCAAAACACAGCAAGAGUAGAGCAUCUACAGAUCACACAACAAUGAUGAUCAAGUUAUAUUCUUAUCACAUAGGGUACAAAAGAUCAUUUCCUUUCAAACUUAUCAAAUUUCAUGCAUACUUCAUUAUUUUAUCACAUCAUUCCAACUCCUAAUAAGUUCAAUUCAUUUUUAAGUUAUAAACUCUUUGGGAAUUUGAAAGCAUGAAAUAAAUCAUAUAGUUUACGAUCCAAAGGAAAUACAUUUAAAGGUUCUAACACAUUUGGAACUCUCCUUUAUUUUGAAGUAACAUUUUAUAAGAAGAACUCUCUCACACUCAAUCAAUCAACUAGCUUCUUCACCUAACUUCCUAAGCCAAGAACUUUUAUGCAACCUCUUUUCUCAUCUCUUCCUUAACUCAAUACUAGAAAGAGCAAUCCCAAUACUCGUGAAAUAUUGUAUUUGUUAUUAUUUUUAUCCCUUUUAAUACAAUUUUGCAUUUUAAACCUUUAAUAUCAAAUUUUGGAUACUCUAAAAGCAUUAAAAAAAAUUUAAAUAGCACUGUUUGGAUAAGAAAAUCUAUUCUUCAAAAGAGAAUUCAAACAGUGAGCUCCAAAAUGUAUGUUGGUUGAAUUCAAUAAAUCUAAAAAAGUUAAAAUAGAAUCUGACAUAUGAAGUUGUCUUGAAGGUUUAAUUGUAUCAAACAUCACACUUCAAUUUUCUAUUUCUAUUUCUUGUUAGGUUACAUCAGUUUCAUCAUCAGGCUCAAACCCCAAAGCUCCAUCCAAGUCCAGCCACUCACCCCAUGGUUUCCGCUGCCCAUUCCAGUCAUAUUUGUAUCGACCUUUGGCUAUCCCAAAACCCUACUCCAAUGUUGGAACACUACUACAAAAACAAGCUCUCUUGACGGUUGUAGUUUUCCUUUCUUGACGUUUUUUUCCAAAAACGUCAAGAAAGAUGUGAUUUCAAAUAAAAAAACGUCAAGAAUUUUUAUGAAAUGCCAAUUUUCGACUUUCUUGACGUUUAUUAAACGUCAAGUAAGAUGUAUUUUUUCUUGACGUUUUUUAAACAUCAAGAAAUAUCUAAUAAUUUUUUGACGUUUAAAAAACGUCAAGAAUGUUUAUGAAUUCAACAUUCUUGACGUUUUUUAAACGUCAAUAAUAUGUAGUUUUCCUUGACGUUUUAAAAACGUCAAGAAAUUUAUAAAAAAUUCUUAACGUUUUUAAAAUGUCGAGAUAAUUCUAAAAAGUUCUUUACAUUUUUAAAAACGUCAAGAAAUUUAUAAAAAAUUCUUGACGUUUUUAAAACGUCAAGAUAAUUCUAAAAAAUCAUUGAUGUUUUUAAAAACUGCAAGAAAUUUUAAUUUUUUUUUUUAUGUUUUAAAAACGUCAAGAAAUUUCUAAAAAAAUAUUGUGUUAAUAUUCUUUUACAAAACGCAAAGUUUCAAUUAGAUCGAAAUUAUGGGAUACUCUCAUGAAUAAUAGCAAAUUAUGAGUUUUGCUUUUAAAAAAUAGUAAAUAUAAUUUUAAAUUGUUAGAAUACCAAAACAUAAAAAUUAGAAAAAUAAAUGAAUGAAACAAUUCCUGAAAUGCUUCUAUCAAAUAUGAAAAUACAAUUAUUUACCUAAACCCCAAUGCAAAGUUUCACCUCAUGACACCAAAAUUUAAAAUCAAUAAAUGUCGUUCAUUUAGAAUGGGUAAUUACAAAAUUGAGACAUAUUCAAUCCAAAAGUUCGGCUCUACACCUGUAGAACAGUUAUAGUCGAAAGCUUUAAGUUGAAAAGGGGAGCAUUGUUGAUAUUAUAAUAAAAAUGAAAUCAUGAAAUUAUACCAUAGAAUUCAAAAUUUAUUUACAUCUUAGCAAGAUAUGCAUUAGUGAGUUCGUCCACUCAAAUCAAUGAGUUCUUAAUACAUUCGAGAUUCAUUUGAGCUAUUCUCUCUCGUUUGCAAGAAAAAAUUUCUCUCUUACUGUGUUUGUCUUUUGUCGGUUGCCCUUCUCACAAUCUCCUUCUUUUCUUUUCUCUAAUACAUCCUAAAAAGAAAAAGAUUCAAAUAAUUACAAAAAUGUCAUUGUGGCAUAAUUAAAUCCUAAAAUUUAAAUUCAAUUUUUUAUUAAAAAUAUAUGUUAUGUAUUAUUUGAUAAAUUAUUUAAAAUAUAAAAAAUUUGAAAAUCUUAUAUAUAUAGUUGUAGAUUGUUGCAAUCUUGUCGAGCAACAAAACAACAUAUUUAGUUAAGAUUUAUCAAAUUUGAAGGUUGUUUGUAAAAUACACUGUUUUAAUAAAAGAGACACAAUAAAUUAAUUUUUUUUAACUAAAAAUCAAUUAAAAUAAGUGUACAAUUUGAAAUAUAAAUUAAAAUAACUAUGUAUUAUCUAAUAAAAUAAUUUAUAAUAAUUUAAAAUAUAAAUUAUACGAAAAUAUUGAAUUAGUGAUGAUUAUUAUUUUAGGGAUUAGAUUUCAUGAUAUUUGAAUUCAAAAUACUAUGAAAUCUAAUAAAUGAGGAACAAUUGAAAAUCUUUUAGCAAUUUUUUAGGGGAAAUAUUUAUUAAACAUAAGUUUUAUGAAUUAAAUAAAUAUAUGUUAAUUAAUUUGAUUUAAAUACUAAAAAUAUGAAAAUUUGUUAUGAAUUAUAGGCAUGUGUUUAGGAAAUAUUAGAAAAUCUUGUCAAUCUAAAAAAAUAUCAUAAAUUAGUUAAAAAAUUUAAAAAUUGAUAGUUUUCAAAUACACUGUAUCUAUGACAGUAUGAUAUUUGGUCUUAUUAUUUGUAUCAUGUAAAUACACAAUAUGUGUAAAACACAUACUAUCCUACAUAAAGAAAUAUAAUACACGCAUUAUACUUUUUGAUUUAGACAUGCAUAACAAGGAUGAUUGAAAAUAAAGCGUCUAAUUAAAAUAAAUAUGAAUAUUAAUGUAAUUGAAAAACACAACGUGAAAAAAUAAUUAUUUGAUACAAGAGGCACAAUAAAUUAUUUUUGUAAUAAAAUCAACCAAAAUAAGUCUAUAGUCAUAAUUAGCAACGAUUGUAGGGAUGAUAAAACUUUAUUUUAAAUUAUUAUUAACCAUACGUAUUAUGUAUUAUCUGAUAAUUUUUUUAAAUAACUUGAAAUAUAAAUAAUACGAAAAUGUUUAAUUUAUGUUUAUCAUUAUUUUAGAGAUAUGAUGUAAUAUUUGAAAUCAAAAUAUUAUGAACUAUAAUGACUCGGGAAUGGUUGAAAUUCUCAUAACCAUUUUUUUUAUAACACUAUGUAUUAUUUAAUAAUUUGUUUAAAAUAAUUUAAAGUAUAAAUCAUAUGAAAAUAUUGAAUCAGUGAUUGCCAUUAUUUUACAGAUUAGAUUUGAUAAUACUUGAAUUCAAAAUAUUAUAUUUAACGAAGGUUGAAAAUCUUUUAACAAUUUUUUAGGGAAAAUAUUUAUUAAACAUAAACUUUAUGAAUUAAAUAAAUAAAUAUUAAUUAAUUUGAUUUAAAUACUAAAAAACUAAAAUUUGUUAUGAAUUAUAGACAUAUAGUUAGGAAAUAUCGAAUAAAUCUUGUUAAUUCCGUAAAUAUCAUAAAUUAGUUAAUAUUUUUCAAAACUGAUUAUUGUUUGCAAAUACAUUGUAUCUCUGAUCGUGUGAUAUUUAACAAAUACACUAUAUCUGUAAAACACGUAUUAUCAAUCUGAAUGGUAUAAACAGGUAAAAAAAAUCAAAAAAUUUCUGUAACCACCAAUUUUGCCAAAAUUCUUAAUAUUUUUAAGAAUUACUAUUUUUUAGUUUUUUAUACUAAAUUUGGUCAUUCUCACUACUAGAUCUUUAUUAUAUAUAAUUAUUAAUAAAUAUUCUUAGUUUGAAGUUUUGUUAUAAAAAAAAUAAAUGUAUUUAAGUUCAACUAUCGGUACAUGCAUGAGAAAAGAAAAAAAAUGUCAACAUGAGUUUAGCUCAACUGACACGUGUAUCUUCUUGUGGACCAUUGGGCUAUGGAUUUAAACUUAAGUGGUUGGGUAAAUCUUAACUAAAUUGAUUAAUAUUCACGUUAUUUGCAUUUUUUUUUACAUUAAACGUUCUCCUUUUUGUUUAACGGUUUUCAUUGAUUGAUUCAAUCUUUACAAUACAUCAUUUAGCAUUAUUUGUGAAGACCAUAGUAGGAUCAUAUGAAUUUCUUAUAAUUGAAAAAUAUGUCUUCUUUUUUCAAUUUUUUUAUUUUGUUAAAUGUUGCUUUGUCCCGAAGUCAUUCAAUUACAAUGUAUUUUAUAUAUUUAGGAGUCAUGUAAGUAUGCUACUUUGUGAGUUAUACUAUUGUAGUUCAUUUGUAUUAAAUUUAACCCUCUUUAAUUUGCAAUUAAAAUUUUUUACGCUUUCAUAAUCAAAAUUUGAGCCUUAUGUUCUAAUUUAGGAACAAAAUUCAUUUUGUGUUAUAUGUAAUCAUAGUUACCUUACAAUAUAUUUCCACUAUGAAAAUUGUUGUCUUCAAGUAUGGUACAUUUAAUGUACAACUCUAUUUGUUUAUAUAUAGUGGCUACUUCGAAAUGGCUUACAAUUUAAAUAUAUUACAAUACAUCAUUGUUAAUUUAAAUACUUUGAAAGAUACUAGUGAAUACUUAGACACCCUCACAAUUCACUCUUUAAAGAUGCGCUAACUGGUAUUUUCUAAAUUCAACAAAUUUGAGUUACGCUAGUGUUGUUUAUUAGUACUAAAUUCAACUUUGUUUAGUCAUGUUUUUAUUGAUUUCCACACUCAAAAUUUGAUAACUUAUGUUAUCACAUUUAGUGUCAAGAUUCCUUCUAUGUGAUAUGCAACCAUAGAUAUAUUAUUGCAUUUUUUGCAUUCAAGUAUGACUUUCAAUUUAAGUCUGUAAAUAUUUUUUGAAUACCUAGAAAGAUGCUAAUGAAUACUCAGGCACACUCACGAUUUACCUAUGUAUAUAUGAUAUCUACCAUUUUUUAACAAUCAAUUUUUCAGAAAUUUAGAUUUCUUACUGCAUAGACAAUUUUUGUUAUAUACUUUUACCAAUUGUUUAAACAACCAAGUCAAAAUUUGAAAAUUUGAAAACUAGAAAACAAAAAUUUUAAAAUUUUUGCUUUUACGUUUAGGAAUUUUAGUAAGAAUUGAACCACUGUACACAUUAUGUUAUAACAAAUGAGAAGAAAAUAUACUUAAUUUUAAAAAAAUAAAAAAUAAAUUAUUAAUGAAUGUGGACUUACUUUCUCAUAUUCACUUUUGGUUAAAAAUAAAUGUCUUCUUAAAAUUAAGAAGAAAGAUAAAAGGUGUUGCUACAAUCAAUAAUAAUACUAUUUCGUACUCAAUUCGUGCAUGUUAGAAUACUUAUUGGAACCUCUAAUCAUAGGAUAAUUCAUAUAUUCAAAAGUAGAGUGUAUUUGAAUGGCUCCAAGAUGAGGCAGGAUAUUGUCGAUUUCACAAAGAUAAUGUAUUUUGCAAUCAACCUUCAAAUUUGGUAAAUCAUAACUAAACUUCCUAUUUUGUUGCCGAACAAAAUUGCAGCAACCUCCUCCUAUAAUAAUGUCAAAUAUAUCUACAAGAUUUUUGAGUUUGUUAUAUUUUAAACAAUUUAUUAACAAUGUCGGUAAUUAUUAUUAAAUAAUACAUAAUAUAUAUUUUUAAUAAUAGUUUGAAAUUAUAUUUUAGAUUAUAUUCUUUAAUUUCAACGCAAAUUACGUUUAUUCAUAUUUCUUAUUGCUUUUUAUUUUAAAAAAAUUUAUUUUGGUGGCAGCAUUACAAACUACGUUUUGAUGAAGAAGCUAUUCGGCAAAAAGAACAUCCUUUGCUUUUCCGUAAAUUUAUGAAGACUUUGAAGAAUUUAAAGGUUUUGACGGGGACGAAGCAUUCACCUCCAAUCUUUUCUGCAGUUGAUAGAAAACUUUGAAAGGGAUAAAGAGUUUCAAGAAUCUUUUCGGUUGAACGCCUACAAAAGAUUUUGAAGAGUUUUCAAUCUUUUCAAGAUGUGAAGAGAGUGAAACAUUUGAAUGUAUGCACAAUUUGAAGAAAAUGUCAAAUGACUACAAAGAUUAUGUGGAGCUUUGAUGGUGAUACGUGCUAUUUCUCGAGUUUUGGGAGGAAAUUAGAAUUUUCAUAGCGUUUAAUUGUGUUUGGGGAGUUUCAUUAAAUUAUAUGAUAUUUGUUGUUUAUUGAAUAAAUGUACUUAGGAUUCAAGUUUUUCACUUAAGUAGGGGCAUUUAAGACAUUGUUCCAACGAUCUUUUUACUAGAAUUUUAUGCUUUGCUAUUUUAUCAAUUUAAAUAAAAAUUUACCAUUUAUCCAAAGUAAACCUCUUAUUUUGUUAUUCUUAUUGUAAGACCAGGAAUAAUUAACAUGCUUUUUAAGAGUCAUUUUGAAAAAUGACAAAGCCACUUUUUUUUUUUAUCUUUAGCAAAUGAUAUUUUUCACACAUGCAUUAUAUUUUAUAAAAUAUCAAUUAAAUACCCACAUUUUUAACUGUAAUUAUUUCAUCUUUACGGUGCAAUUAAUCUAUGUUAUGCAUUAUGGACCUUUAAUUAUUUUCGUGACGUGUAAAGAUAUAACAACCCAUAUCAUAACUUCUUUCUAAUAUUUUCAGUACUCAACUAUUUGAUUCAAUAUUUUAACAACUUUAUUCAAUCUUACUAAUUUCUAAAUAACAAAAUUAUUAAUUUUACAAAUUGAAUAAUCUCGACGCUAUUUUAUAUCAAAAUAACAUUAAUUGGUUGAAUCUCAAAAUAACCAAAUUAUUAUUUUGAAUUUGGAAAAAUCUCAAACAUUGAUUUUAUUUUAUCAAUUUUCUUUUUUCAUAUCUUUUUUUAAGUGAUAACUCGCUUAUUUAUUUCUCAAUAUUUUGUUUUAUUACACCAAAUUAACUUAUUCUAAGAAUAUAGCAUUGUGUACAUACAUAAUUAAAAUUAGAAAACCAUUGCAUCAAUUGUGUUUAGGAAGACUUUUAAACCAAUACAUGUUCGUUUAACUGAAUAAUAUUAAUUACAUUAUAAUUUCUAUCAAUAUUGGUUUGACAUCUGAUUGGAUGUUCAUACACACAUUCGCGAACUGUAAUUAUUUCAAUAUAUGUGUUCUUAUCAAAAGUCUUUCUAGUUUAUUAAUUAGUCUAUAAUUAAUUUCGAUGUGUUAAUAACGUAUACAACCCCUAUUGUAACAUCUUCUUAAUAUCUCAUGAUUUAACAAUUUUGUUGAAGAUUUUGACAUCUUUAUUUAUUUUUUUAUUUCACAAUAUUGUUGAAGAUUUUUAACAAUUUUAUUCAUUUUUUUAAUUUCAAAUUAACCAUAUUAUUAAUUUUUAUUGGCUAAAUCUUAACACUUUUUUAUUUCAAAAUAACCUCAACUCGCUCAAUCUUUCACUCAUUAAUAAUUGGGAAAUUAAAAUUAGUUUUCAAGAUCUUAUUUAUUUUUAAAAUUUGAAUUUUUUUCAACAAAAUAGUUUAAUAUAUUGUGCUUUGAGAUAAAAUCUCUUGAAUUCCAUCUACAUUUUAUUCAUUAAAUAAUAUAAAUGAUUUUUAAAAAAAUCAGCUAAAACUUUCCGUAAGAGAUAAAAAAGAUGCAAAUCUCAUAUCUUUGUUCUUUCGAGUGAAGGUUUUUGUUCUUAUACUCCAAGUGUUUGAGAUUUCAAAUUGUAGAAUUGAAAAUAAAAAAUGGAAGAGGUAAAAUGAAGGUAGUGUUUGCAUGCUUCAAAUGUUUAUAUUCUUUUUCUUGAAAAUGCAUGAUAGAAGUUGAAGAUGAAAUUGAAACUUCAAAUGGAACAACAACUUGCAAAAAGGAGGGUGGAGAUUGGGGUUUGUCCAUUUCAAGGUGGAAAAGAUUAGGAUUUGCCUGCUUGAAGAAGAUGGAAUCAAAAUACAAAAAUGGAAAAUGAAGAUUAUUGCAAUGGGUCUGGAAAAUGGGGAUGAAGGGUUCUGAUUUUGAUUGAAUAAGUACGUAGGUGCAAUUAUGUUUCAACAUUUAUUAAAGCAUAUUUAUUUUAUUUUAGCCGAAGAAAGUAGUUUACCCUCUCUGUAUAUACGAGUAUUUUAUGUUUUUGCAAAUUCAUAUUUAUUGUAUUUUUUUCUAUUUAAAAAAACGAUUUUGCUAUUUUUCAAAUGACAACUUUAAAAUUGUUAUUCUUCUAGUUGACUUUUGAGUAUUCAUUAUUAAUCUUAGUUUAAAACAUUUAAUAUGAGAUAGUACAUAUAUAUUUUUUAAUUGUAUCAUAUUCGUUUUAUUUAACGUGAGAUAGUACAUAUUUAUUUUUUUAAUUAUAAAUAUUUGGUUUAUAUUUUCUUUCCCGUAUAAAUUCUAUUUAUUUCAAUUUUUUAUUGUCAUUGUUAUGUGGCUUUUUACCUGCUUUUUUUCUUUUUAUUCUUUUUAUUCUUUUCAUUCUUAUGUUUUUAUGUUUUUCGAGUUUUGUACAAAUGUAUGUACAUUUUUUUUUCACUUUUAUCUUUAUAUUCUACAAAUUCUAUAAUUUUUUGAAAAUAUAGAAUGAUUUUUUUUUGUGUUGAUAAACAUAUUAAAUAAUAAUAAUAUACAUCACAUCGAUUAUUUGAUAUAUAAGAUAAUAUAUUAUAAAAUUAUUAUAUUCGUGCAUUUAUUUGGUUUAGUUAUUAAUUACAAAUAUAUAUCAUAUUUAUAUUAAAUAUAAGUAUAACAAUUAUAGAUU
rnacentral:lncRNA from 1 species